UGCCCCACUUAAGCUUUGUUCAUCCCGAGCAAAGUAAAAUCUAAAAUCAAACCGUCAAGCAUUAUGCACGGGAAGCAAACAUCAACUUAAGGGAAAAACAAACAAUCAUGCAAGUACAUAAGUGAUGCUUUUCUAAUGAGUCGUUCUAGUUAUGUUGCUCCAUGCCUUAAGAGUCUACCCACCUAAACUAGACUUUAUUCAAACAUUCAAAGAGACUACAAACUAUUAGUUGAGGUUAGGGUUUAACUAAGUUCAUCCGAAACAAGCACAUUUAGACAGAAACACAAGUUUUGCUACUCCGACGUAAACAUGCUUUGAAAAGAUGAAAAGCACCUUAAACUUAUUUUUCCCCUACUAUGAAUCGGGGAGGAUUCCUCCUCUUUUCAAAGCCCUCAAUGAAACUUGAUGCUAUGUUUAGAACGCUAAGAGUAGGUGGUCUGGUUUUGCUUAGGCCAAAAGUGAAGUUUUUUCUCACAAGUUCUGAUAGUUAGGGAACUCAACACAUUCUGCUUGACCUAACCAACUUUUGUUCUCUCUCUUUUUAUGAGCUUUUUCUAAUGCAUAUUGUAUAAGUUUUUUUUUAGCUCUUGAUUGCCUCACUUUUUUAUAUUUUGCAUUCACAAGUCUUUCUUUUCUUUCUUUCUUUGGUAUGCAAUGUGAUAACUAGGCCUUGCUAGAGCCGGUGGGCUAACCUUUCUACGGUUCUACACUUUAAGUUUGUCUAUUCCGUUCGAAGUGACAACAAGCUUUGUUAAUGUCUACUCUUUUCUAAAGGGAUCCAAUUCAUUGUGGCUAGACAAGAGGCUCCUAACUCAUGUUUAACAAGACAAAAGUGUUAAAACCGUCUCAACUUCUAAAGAGGACCUACUAUCCUUUUUUAACUCUAUCUAAGCUAGGUUUGGACUAAGUGCAUCAUAGGCAAGUCACGACAAAACAACAAAGGAAGACAAAGCUAGAAAGCAUCCAUGCAUUACUUAUGUAUACAAGAAAUCAUUCAAUCACAACACACGUACCAAUUGACAUUCAUGAAAUCAUUCACAACUUGGGUAUGACUCAAAAUGGGGUAUAGAAACAAAAAGACAGCAGCUCAUUCCAAAAAGACAGCAUGUACAUUCAUGUAUAUUAAGAGAAUUCAACACAUACAAAAAUGUUAGAAUUUCAUAACUCAAACCCGAGCUCCAUACUCAAGGAUUGGACACUCAUGCGUUUUUUUAUUUACAUUUACUAAGCAAAGAAUCUAAAAUUUGCAAAGUUUUGCAAAGUUUUGAAAAAUUUUGGAAAGAAUUUUAAAAGGUUCCCAAGUCAAGUACAAGCUUACUCUAAGGUAUACCCCACUCUCACUUAAAAAUUUGCUUUGUCCUUAAAGCAUGAAAAGAAGCAGAGUAAAAGGAUGAGAAAAGAGAAAAGGGGAACAAAUCUAUACAUUUAAACUAGCUUAAUAAUGUCGAAUAUUUAUUUACUAUCAAACUUUUUAUUCUAAAGUUUGUUUUUUUUCAAAAAUAAUAAUUGAUAUCGACCUUUAAUCCAAAAUUUCAUUGACUAAUAUGUAAAAUUAAGAUCUCAACAUUUCAAUAUCGUUAUUCGCAUUUUAAAUCUUGAUUAUGCAUAGAUUUUGAAAAUUUACAUCUUUACCACAAAAUGUCAAAUUAGUUUUAAAAUAUUGUUAAAUAGUUUUUCUUUUUUAAAAAAAUUAUUGCAUAUUAAAGGAGUAGGUAAAAAUCUAGGUUAAUUUUCAUAAAUAUAACAAAACACUAAAAUAUUUACGCUCGUACAACAAAAUAACAAAUUCAUGAUAUUUUCAUAAAUUUCAAGUUUACUCUUGAAUAUUGCAAACGAUUUUUCUUCUUUUUCUUUUUCUUCUUUGCGAUUUAUUCAUCUCCUAAUCAUAUUAUUAAUUUUUUUUCAUAUUAUUACUUAUCCAUUUUACAAUAUUGUGAUUAUUUAUGUAAAUAUUUACUAAUUUCUUCAUUUCUUCUUCCAAAAUUUUUUCCUUCUUCAUUUAUCAUGUUCUUUUUUUCUUCUUGGUACAACAUCUAAAUGAUUUCGGUACAAAAUCUAAACGAUCAAUUGUCUAUCCUAGAUAGACAGAGAUAGACCAUUAUCACUUAUAGAUUGUUUAAGUUUGGUAUGAGAUCGUUUAAACUAAGUAUAACGGUACAAGAUCGUUUAGAUUUGAGAUUGCUUAGACUUUGUAUAAGAUCAUUUAGACUUAGGUACAAGGAUACAAGAAUGUUUAGACUUGCUAAAAAAUCGUUUAGACCUUGCUAAGAUAUCGUUAGACUUGCUAAGAUCAUUUAGACUUCGCAUACAAGAUCGUAUAUGACUGAUUAAUCGCAUGAGUAUUUUUGUUAUUUUCCAUUGUAGGCUUUAUGCUUUUUUAUUUUUAUAAUUGUUCUAUACGGUGUAAAUAUUUUCAUGCUUUGUUCUAUUUCUUAAAAGACCAAAAAAUUUAUACAAUAACUAAUGUGUAUCAAUAACAUCAUCCAUGUAAGUUUACGCCAUAUGUAUUGUAAGAAUAAUUAUAUAAAGGAUUUCAAAGAUAUCAUAUGAUAUUCAACCAAUAUGUAAAUACACAAAUUUAGAGUAAUUUUAAAACUUAAAAGAGUCAAAUUUAAACAUUUCAAAGUUGAGGGAUGGAACUCAAAUUUAUCUAAAAGAGUAAAGGGCCAAAAGUUACCCUUAAAGUAUGGUGGGGGUAACCAUUACCUUUAAGAAGAAUCUGAUAUCCAAGGGUACAACAUUCUCUUGGUUCAACCCUCUUUGUAGUACCUCAGCUAUAUCCUUACUUAAUCAAACCCUCUUUGUAGUACCUCGAUUAUAUCAAUCUUACUUUCACACCAUACUGAAUGGUUUUUGUAAUUUGAAAGUAGCAUUCACCAAAAAAAAAAAAAAAAACAGUCAUGUUCAAUUCAAGCUCAUUUCCGUCCAAGCAACCAAUCCAUGCAUCGGUUAAUUUUCAGAACCAAAACUGAAAUCGGAGGCAACUUAAGUAAAGCAAUGAGAACAGAAACAUAGAAAUCAAGAACACAAUACAGAAAAGAUUGGAAAACUCAUAUUUUCAAAUUGGUUUCCACCAAAUUAUGGAUCUCAUUCACCAUCAAAUUCCCUUUUGCACUAUUUGAAAUGGUUAGACAAGGCAAAAUUUAAUCUAAAUCCUAACCAAUGCCACCAUCAGUAGAGAGAGAGGGAGCGAGAGGAGACAUAAACAAAUUGGAUAUUGGACUCUCAGUGGCGCCCAAAGCCAGGGCAUGUACAAUAAAUAAAGCACUUGAUGGUUUCAAGAUUUCAUAGUUCAAUAUAGACCUAGAAUCUUCCACCAAAUACAACCAACCACAGUCCAGAUAAAACCGUUUAUGAGGGCCAUCACAAAACCGAUUUUGAAUACGUCUGGUAGUUCGACGUAACCCGCUGUUGUAAUGAACAGACAAACAAGUCAGUUGAUGUCAAGAUGAAAUGGAUCAUUUUCUGAAUUCAAUGAAAAUGAGUUAUAAAAUAGAAGCACACACCUCCAUAGUAUACAGCUGCUUGGCCGCUGCUGUAAUGAGUCAGAGCGCCAAAGAGAUUUGUGUUGUAAGCUAAGGCCAAAGCUGCCAACACACCUGGUACCUUGGCAGCCAAGUGCAUUGCAAGGAAUGCUGAGUACAAAGCACCAACGUGACCAGUUUGGCUAGCAAAGAGGUAGUGAACGAAGAAGUAAGAUGCCUGAAGAAUAGCAAAUGCCGCAGGCCAGCUGAGAGAAAGAGACUUCAGCAAACCGGCCACACAGUUUGACAUCCAGCCCACGAGACCAAGACUUGUCAAUUGGCCAGCCAUGCCUACCAGGACGGCGAACCAAGCUAAUGUAUCCCAGGCUGACUUUUCGGAUAAGCAGUCAUCCCAGUUUAGGACUCCCAGUGUAAGGAGUAUUGAUAAUCCAAUCAUCGCAGCUACAACACUAGGUAUUUUAAGGGCCUCUCUGAAAGUAGACAGAAAAAACUUAGUUCCAAACCAGUGGGUGAAAUCUGUUUAACACUAUACUUCACAAAAGUAACAUAUGAAACAUUCAUUAGCAGUUGCUUUACUGUAACUCUCAAGCACAGUCAAAUUUUCUGAUAUAACUUUCAGCUUCUAAUGUUAUGCUAAUGCUUCAACCAAUACCAACCUAGUAAGGUCAGGAAUCUCAUGAGAAAAUGGUUUUAUUCCAGACAUGGGGCAGGGAACUGACAAAGCAAUGAAAAUACCACUGGACGAAUGUAGAUCAAUGAGAAACCAUUUUAUUAUUUACACAUUCUUAUCUAAACACAUCAUCACAUCAUUUGAGCAAAGAUGUAUAUGAUUAAUAAGAAAAUAUUACUUCAUUGCAAGUAAUACUACAUACCCAGCAAUCCAUAACGAGACUGCAAUAAGCAUUGUACCGACCAUGAUCCAUUCAUUUUUAGUGACAGGACCCAUAGCCUCCAAUUUUCUUGCAGCCAUGGCUGGGGCCUCCGGUGUGUCCUUGGUUUCUGGAGGAAACAGCUUGUAUAGAAUUGCUGGAGUUACUAAGAUACCGAUGAUUGCUGGCGCACAAGCAAACUUGGCCCAAGUAAGCCAAGGGCUAGAUAUUUGAACACCAAGUUCCUCAGCCAAUUUAAGACACAACAAGUUUUGAGCAGCAGCAGUUAGGAAGAGGGCACUAGAGUUACCAGCACACUGUCACCAAGAAAUAAGAGGGCAGUAGUUAGUUACCGAGUGUAUCACCAGAUGCCAUUAUUGAAAACCAAAAAGUUUCUCUAUAGGGACUCCAAAAUGCUGGAGAUCUCAAGCAUAAAAGCUUUUAUCAACAUGUUUCCUAGUUUGUCAUAAAAACUAAUAUUUACAGAGAAUUCAAACUAUGCAAACUGAUAAUAGUAGCAAAUGUUCAACAACAAAAUAGUCAUAGAUGCAACCAGAAGGCAGCAUAAGCCAUUUUACAUCAAAUGAACACAUAACUAAAAUAACCAGAAGUUAAGCAUGAAAUGAACAAGAACGAGCAUUUUCUUUGAGGUUUUGACGGAACCAUACUCAACCAUAUUAACUUACAUCCUAUAAUGCUCCUUUUUCUUUUCUUUUUAAUAAUCGUAAUCUAAUGGAGAUCGCAAAAGGUUCAUUCAAUUAAAUUAAAGGGAAAAGGUAAGGAGUAGAGUAUAUUAUUUAACCAUUUAAGAUGGCAAUAAAAGUAUGAGUUUCUAAAAAGUUACUGAAAAUAUUAUUUCGUUGUAGAAAAAAUUCCUCUUCCAUUCAAACCACACAAGACAAAAAAAGGAUUAGAUAAAUUGAAGCUAUAGAAUUUUUUUGAAGUUCCACAAAGGGAGGUAGCAAAAAAAAAAAAAAAAACACUUACCACUUCCGUUGAAACAUAAAGCUAAAAGUACAAACUUUAAUGGGAUUUCACACUUUCAUCGGAACGAGAAUUGCGGUAGUGCAUCAUCAAUUAAAAUGAAGAUUGUGAUCAAAGGAAAAUUUUAGUUAGGGAGGCUCCACCUGGAACUACUUCCUGACGAGUAGCAUAAAUAAACCUCACAGAGAGAAGUCUUAUGCCACCUUACUUUCCCCUUUUGAUGAGAUGAAUGACAUAAGAAGUACUAAAGCAAACUCCCAAAACGUUCUCCAAUUGGUACUAAUAACCGAAGAGAGGAGUAAAAAGGCUAGACCAUAUAAAGCGAGCUAUCUCCCUGUUUUCUCCCAAGUUUAUAUCCUUUAAAACUUAAGGUGCAUUAAAUUAUACAAAAUCCUUAAACAUAAUGAUAACAAAACAAAGUGACUUGCUAAUUUCAAAAGUUCAAGAUCAGCAGGUAAAGAUUUGACAUGGUAAGCUCAUUGUACACAAACAAGAAAGAUAAUGGAAAAGAGCAGCUAAAGGCAGAGCAUGCAAAAUUAGCAACAAACCUGAAACUGAGAUUGAAUAAGGUAAGCACCGAUUUUUCUAGACGAUGGGUGGUUCGGUUUACUAUCAGCAGCAAGUGACAAAGAUUUAAUAAUGGGCAAAAACACACCCCCAGCCCUGGCCGUAGUGCUGGGCAUAGCAGGAGCAAUCAAAGCUUCACUAAUCGUCAAACCAUAAGACAAACCAAGUGUACUCUUCCCCAUCCAUUUAACAAAAUACGUCGCAAUUCGAUCACCCAACCCAGUUUUCACAAACCCACGAGCGAAAAAGAAGGAAAUGACAAUCAACCAAAUCACCUCACUGGUGAAAGCAUUAAAAGCAGCAGCAAACGUCAAAGUCUUAGUAACCACAGUAACAGUCAAGCCAAGAAACGCCCAAGCACCAACCGGCAAGGGACUCAGAACAAGUCCAGCAAUAGUCGAUAGGAAAAUUGAGAGUAACUGCCACGCUUCAGCAGAAACCUCCACCGGUUUCGGGACAGCAAACCGAACAAUGAGGCCAAUAGCAAUAGAAAUCAGGAAAGGGAUUGGCUUAGCACCUUGUCGGGGAGGUGGGGACGGUGGCACUGGUUGAUUAUCCGGCGAUUGAGAGGCACUGGUUCGCAUUGGAAAAGGUUGACGCAAUUUGGGAUUGAAGAGGGGAUUGAAGAGGGACAAUCGAGAACUGAGAAAAGGGGAUUGGGGGAUUGGUGGGGUUGAUUGAAGUAGCGAAGUAGAGCGAGAAAAAUGAAGGGAAGAGGGAAAGGAGAGGGACUGGGAAAUGGGUUUAGAGCGAUGGAGGAGAGAAAGUCGAGAAGUGGGAGAAUGGAGGGAAAAAGAAGUGGUAGUGGAGACAGAUUGGAGCGCAAAAUUUUCCAUCCUAAUCAAAAUUGCUGGAGGGGGGAGAGAGAGAGAGAGAGAGAAAGAGAAUGAAAGGAGAGAUGUAUGAAAGACAAGGACGAGAGGAAAUGAGAGAUGAGAGGGAAACGGCCUAAGCUUUUGGCUUUCGGGAGUAUGAAGAGAAGCGGAAGGAAGCGGAGCGGAUUGAACGAUGUGAGCUCAGUGGGCUUCGCUGUUCCUAAUGCCUAUGGCGGAGAGCGAAAUUGGAUGUUACCUUUGUUUAUUUCUUGUGUUCACAUACGGGAAACCACAUCAAUUGGCAUGCACCACUAUUACGUGUCAUUCUCUUAUACCUCCACUUAUUGCUCUAUUUAUCAUUCUUACAAACUUCUUCACUUUCUUUCCAUUUUUCUGUAAUAACAGAUUUCUAUUUCCAUUUUUGGUUCCACGAUUUUGUAUAGUUAUACCUAAACAUUUCAGCUGAUGAUAUUCAAACUUUUACAAUAUCUAAUUCUUAUCUAACCUUCAAUCAGUAGUCUUUCUCACAUUUAAAACUUUUCAACUAUCAAUUGGUUUAUUUUUAUUUAAAAUACUUUAAAGAGGAACUGUUUUUUUAGUACCAUGGAAAGUAGUUAGAUUUAAAAUGCAAACUUCGAAGUUAUCAAGACAUUUAUGUAUUAUUUAAGCUACUUGUUUUAAUAUUUCAAUCAACAACUUACUUAAUUAUAGACUAUCAUUUUUAAACAAAGAAAAGUUCAAUUUAUUAGGCCAUAAACAUGUUACCAUAUUUUUGUCUUUUUCUUGUGCCUUCUUUUAUUAUUAUCUCUUGUGUCCACCUUAUAUUUGUUCAUACUACAUGUGAUAUAAUUUACCACAUAUUAUUUGGCUAAAUUUAUAUUAUGGAAGGAUGGAAUCAAGUCUUGGGACUAGUAACAUAAUUUUAACAUACAAAAAAAAAAAGUGAAAAUCCUUUUAAUAUAAUAACAUAAUUUUUUAAAGAUAGAGUCUAAAGGAAAAUCAUAUACGUUUAAAGUAUAGAUAGUAUAAGGUGUUAUUGUAAAGAUACAUAGAACAUGUUAUUAUAACAAUUAUAUUGUGAAUUUGUGAUCAUGAUCUAUAUUUAAAUAUAGAUGAAUCAUAAUUAUGUCAACUUGGGAUAACAUGUUUUGUCCAGAAUCUUAACAAAGUUGCAAUAUUUGAAUUGGAUGAAAAGUUGACCUAAAAUUACAAGUACUUUUGAAAGUAAACAAAUGGAUGAACAUUGAGUUUUCUUAGUGGUCCUUCAUCAUUUUCUGGAAGAGAUCCUUAGAAUUUGGCAAUGGCCUUUAGAAUAUUGUGUGAGGUAGUCAAAACAAAGUUUAAAAUAAGCUUACUUUAAAUGAAUCGGUAGUGUGUUUAUAAUAAAAUUUGGAUAAGUAGAGUCUCAUGUCAUAUCACAAGUGAAUUUGUAUUUUGAAAAAUAAAUCACUUGCAAAAUGAUGAAAAUAACGUACAAGUGUGAUUCCAUUAACGCUUUGAUGCUUAAGUUGGUUUUAAGCACGAGGACCAGAGCAAAAGUUUUUAGGGAAUAAGAUGAAUGUAGUUGAUGUGGAACUAUCAUGUUUCUGUGUAUAGUGGAGCUAAUCUUGCACUUUCAAGAUUCAGACUUCCUUUAAUCUCCUUUAAUCUUAUAUGAAUAGGACUCUCAAAAGGGUUGGAUCAUACCACAUGAAGGUGCAAAAUAAAGGAGAGCAACCUCCAAAAGAACGUGACUAGUUGGCCUCUGGCCAAGCAACCCAAUUGCUUUGUGUUCUCGCCUCUUUGGCAUCCAUUAAAAUGAAAAGGGUGAGUUGGUCCCAGUCUCCAAGAUUUAGGUGGACUAAUUGCUUUGUCCUCUCGUUUAUGGCAUCUAUCAAAAUGAAAAGGGUGAGUUGGUCUUGGCCCGACCUUUGCCAACUGCUUCUUGCAAUCUUUAUUGACACAUGUUAUGAGCUUUUUUAUAGCAUUUCUCUAAGUCCAUGCAUUCAGAAAGAGAGAACUUUUUCAAUUAUACACUCAUAUUUAACUUUAUUUCGUAGGUUUUCUCACCAGUCCAAAACUUCCCAUGAUAGAAAAUGCUUAAUGAAACAAAAUGAUAAAAUAGAUAAGUAAAGAACGAUUUGAGUUGAAUGUUUAGUUGAAAAAGAAAUAUAUGAAAAAAGUUGAUCAGUAAAAGGUCCCAUGUGCAUUUUCAAUGUAAAAAGGUUUAAAUGAUAAGAUUGAAUAUUUUGAUAAGCUUGAUAAGAAUCCGAUGAAAAGUCGAAUCAUUUUGUUGAAAAAUAAAAGAGACAUAGUAAAAAAAACAACUUUAUUUAGUUGGAUUUGUGGCAUAGAGAUAAUUAGAGAUUAUUGGCCAAUUUAGUUUGAUUAAAAGUAGUAAUAAUAAUAAAUAGAGAUUCUUUUAAAAGUACAACAAAUCGUUAAAAUUUAUACAAAUGAUUUUGAAAAAAAGAAAUAAUCCACGAGUCCACGAUGUGAAAUAUAAAAAAUACCUCAGUCAACAAGAGAUUCAUCAGCCACACACGUGUGGGUAAUCUUCUUUUAAACGAUUGUUUAUUACAGUUUAAAUGAUCGUUUAGAUCAUGAUACACAGUCGUGUAAUUCAUUUUAAAUAAUGGAAAAAAGUUUCAAAUUUAAACGAUCAGAUACUAAACUCUAAAAAAUGGUGAAAAAGCUUUAGAUAUAAACGAUUAUAGAAUAUAAUCCAAAUGAUUGUUAGAUUUGUAUACAUGAUCGUGUAGUAAAAUAAUAUACUUUAAAUGAUCAUGUUGACCAUUGUAGACGAUCGUCUUGAUUAUGGUAGACAAUCGUGUUAACUAUGGUAAGUGGUUGUGUUGGUUAUAUGAUAAAUGAUCGUGUACUCUAAUGUAAACGAUCGUGAAAAAUGUUAAAUCUAAUGAUUGUAUAUAAUACAAUAUACAUGAUUGUUUAAAUUUUGGUAAUUGUAAACCAUAUGCAAUAGUCAAAUAGUCUAAUGCAAACAAUCCACAAGUCUGAUGAUUUGGUUAUGGCUGAUUUAUUAUAUGUUAAUUAGGGUAUUUUUUGUAUUUUGCAUUGCAGGCACCUGAAUUUUUUCUGUUUUCAAAAUUGUUUUAUAUAGUGUAAAUAUUUUGCUUGUUAUAUUUUUUUAAAAAAAAAACCGCUUGUUAUGAAUAAAAAAACAAAACUAUUUACAAAAUAUAACAAAAUUUAUCUAGUCUAUUUAAUUAAUAUUUCAUUUAAAUCAAUAUAUCUCGCAUAACUUAUAUAUUUUUAAUUUAAUUAAAAUAAUCUUAAUUUUCAUGAAUGUAACAAAACACCAAAAUAUUUAUGACUCGUGUAACAAAAACAAAAAGCCUUGAAGUCGGUAAAAUAUUUUCAUCAAUUUCAGGUUUGUUUUUUAUAUUGUGGACGAUUCGUCACUUUUCUUUCUUCUUUUUCUUUGCCAUUUAAUUUAUUCAUCUUCUCUUCCAUAUUUUUUCUGCUCCUCUUCCAUAUUUUCUUUCUUCUACUUUUAUUCAUUUCUCUUUCCUUCUUAUCUUCUCUUUCUUUCUUUUAGCUCCUCUUCCAGAAUAUCAAGACUGUUUAAAUAUCACUUUGAUAUGAUCUAAACGAUCGCUUAACUAGUCAACAUGAUCGUUUAUCAUAGUCAACAUGAUCGUUUAGUUUAAAGUCCCUUUUUUCAUCAUUUAAAAAAAAUUACACGAUUUUGUGGAUAUGAUAUAAACGAUCGCUUACCUAGUUCAAGACGACUGUUUAGCAUGUCAAUACGAUUGUUUAGAUUUGAAGUCAUUUUUUCAUUGUUUAAAAAUUAAAGAACUACACGAUUGUGUGGAUAUGAUCUAAACGAUAGCUUACCAUAGUCAAUGCAACUUUUUAGCGUGGUCAACAAAUUGUUUAGAUUUGAAGCAUUUUUUCCAUCGUUAUAAAACCUACACGAUUGUGUAUCAUUUCGUACAUGAUCGUUUAAAAGAAGUAUUACACGUGUGUGUAGUCAAUUAAUCGCGUAUUGACUAUGAUAUUUUUGGUAUUUUACAUUGUGGGCCUGUGAGUUUUUUUCAGUUUUCAAAUUGUUAUAUACAGUAUAAUAUUUUAUCGGUUUGUUAUAUUUUUUAACUAAACCUCUUAAAAUAAACUAUUAACUAACUUUCCAAUUAAAUAAUUAUUAAAUUGAAUAUUUAUGUAUUAUUUAUUUUAGUCCAUAGUUUAAUCAUAUUCAAUUAUAUCUCUCUUAGUACCUAUAGUUUUAAUGGCAUACACGCAUUAAAUUUUAACCUAAAAUUUUAAUAUGAAUUUAAUUUUCGUUAAAUUAAUAUUUGAAUUCACACAUAUGUUAUUUUCUUAUAAAUUAAGUUUGAAUCAUAACUAAAAUUAAAUUUAUAUAAUAAAAUUUAAUUAAAAUACAAAUUUUAUACUAUAAUGUAUCAACAUACAUUAUAUUAGCUCCCUAAGUAAAUUUGAACAUUCAAAUUACAUUCAAUAUACAUUAAUCUCAUUACCCUUUACGAACUAGGAAGGUGGCCUAAUGGACAUACAAAUCAGAAGCUAUAACGAUAUGAGAUUAAUUGGCUAAUCUCAUUAAUCACAUUAAUUAAUAUUCGUUAAUUAUGUGUACAUUGUAGAGAUUGAGAACAUUGUAAUGUCAUGUUAGUUGAUCUUUAAGUCAUAAAAUGGUCUCACAAGAGAUACUUGCCUAAGAAGCGUUUAUAGAAAUUCUUUCAAAGUUUUCGCUUACUUAUUUCUUUAGUAAGCAUGUUUUGUUUUUAAAAGUUGUCACUCAUGUGGUUUUAUAGCUCACCCCUUCCGUGUUUUAUUUUCUUACCGGUAGAAAUCAUAGUUCCAACACCUAACUUUAGAUUUACCUACGCUGCUAGAGUCUUUAUUUAGAUUUUAAGUAUAACUCAUUUCUUGACAUGCAUGAUAGUCUGUAAUUUGUUUUGUUUGGAGCUUCGCUUAAGAGUUUGGAAUAAACUAGUGAGAACUCGUUGAGUUAUGAGGCUCUGAAUAUUAUGUAUGUGCGUAUAGAAGACUUGUUUUCAAAACAGGUUGUCCAUUGGGUGGAUGCUUUAAUUAUUCCAAUUUUUUUAUGUUUCAAGGUUUUAAGUGUUUAAUGUCUUUAUAAUAGAUAAUUAUUUUAAGUUCAGGUUAAUUAAGCAGGGUUGACAGGUAUCGUUAGAAGGAGAACGAUGUCGGCGGCUUCGCGUCACAUCUUGGGCCUAGUAAGGAGGUACUCCAGGAUGGGGUGUGAUAGUAGAUAUAUUUUUAUGUUCAUGGAUAUAGACCAAUAACAACAAGUUAGUCUUUCAUAAGUGUUUGUAACAUCAGGUAGGUUAAAUUACCGUUUUAUACUCAUAGGUCAUUUCUUAGUCUUUAAAUAUUGAUGCUCCUCUAAUGAACAACUUGCUUAUGGUCCAACCAAUAAUACAAAGAUACCUCUCGUGCCAUAGAGAGGGUAGAGAUCUUUCUUCAAAUCUCAAAGAUACCAUUUAAGGGAACACUCAUUUACUUACCCUAAAAUCGAGAAGGAGUGAUACCAUGUUUUUAGCUCUUUACUCAGUCUUGUCCAAAAAAUGGUUGGUUUAUUGAAUUGACAAUCUGGCUACUGAUCUCACCCAUACAAAUCAAAGGAUAAUCCCCCACAAACAAGUGUUUGUUAUACACUCAAGAUUAAGAUUAAGUUGCCCUGGUUUAUUAUAUUGAAAUAGAAACGUAACUAGUUAACAAAGUUACAUAUAGUGGUUACUAUAUCAUGGUCUAGUCUUAUGCAAACUCAUUGCAUCGGAUACCCCACUGGUAUAUCACCUACACAAAUGCGUUGGAUUGUUACGUUUGUAUCAAAUACAAAGUGGGUUGUAUCCAUAGUGUCAUAAAGAUAAGGUAUCUUGUCUUAUCUUUAUACAAUAAACCUUUUAAGUUGUAUCUCGAACAUUGAUUCUCAUUUGUCUCCCAAUUAUGAAUUAAACAUAUAUGCUACUUAAAUAGGAUUUGAGUACGGCAAUUUUGAAAUAAAAUUCAAAAUCGGUCGAUAGGAUAUUGGUCAAAAUCAAUGGAAUUUAAUAUUUAAUAAUAAAUUAAUAUAAUUAAUUUAAAGUUAAUUAACUGCUUAUUAAUUAAAUUUUUUUAAUUAAAAUUUAAUUUAGAAUUUAUUAAUUAGAAAAGCUAGAAAUUUUUACUUUUGAAGUCAAUUGGUCAAAUGUCAUCAUCAUUUUAUUCCAUCAAUCCUACUUUCAUAAUUGAUUUUGAGUAUCAAUUUCCUACCCAAUUAGAUUUUGCAUCGAUAGAAUUCUUUAAAAUAUUGAUUUGAGUUAGAUAAAUGUUAACUUGUUAGGAGUAUUUGUUUUUGAAGAAGUCCAUAUAUUUUGGUUUAGAUCCAAAAUACAACUCCCUCAAUUCCUCUCAAAAUUCAUCCAUCAAAGCUAAGUAUUCCACCAUCCAUAUGUAAGUUUUCAUGAUCAGGAUUGGAAAAGAUUCAGUACCGAUUUGAAGCUUGAGUUUCACUCUAUUUUGUCAAGUAUUUCCAAGGAUGUUAGUCCAUUUAUAGUGUUCGAUAAUCCAAUUGUUUUCUAUCACUUUUAGGGUACUUUAAUGCAAGUAUUUGGUUUGGAAACUGUCAUAGUGGAAACUCCCUCUCAUACCUUUAACCUUUCCAAAAUACUUCAUGCCCCUCAACUUGCUGCAAAUCUCUUAACUUUUCAUAAAUUCUAUCUUGACAACAAAUGUAUUUUUAUCUUUGAUGUUGAUUGGUUCCUCAUUUAGGAUAAAGUCAUUGGCCAUACACUAUAUACUAGUGAAAGCAUCAAUGGUCUUUAUCCUAAUCUCAAUACUUAUACUCUAUCCAAGUCUACCAUGCGUUCCAAAAUUUUUAGUUUUCAUGCAAAACAGAAGAAUUCAUCAUUAUAGCAUUUUCGUUUGGGUCAUCAUGCUCCAAAUACUCUCAGUUUUAUUUUAUCUUGCAUUGGUCUAUCUAUGUCUUCUUCUCUUUCUACUUGCAAUUGCAUUUAGUUGUUUAAAAGCAAAAAUUAUAAAAUUACAUUUUCCUAUGUCUUUAUCCUACUUCUCUUACACCACUUGAACUCGUUCAUAGUGAUGUAUGGAGACCCUCUCCAUUAAUCUCUUCUAGUGGAAAUCGAUAUUAUGUUAGUUUUAAUUUAUUGAUAAUUUUAGCAAAUUUACUUGGCUCUUCCCUAUUGUGUAAAAAUAAGAUGUUCUUUCUAUUAUUAAAAACUUUGUUCCCUUUGCUGAAAAUCAAAUAUCUCACAAAUAAAUUUUUUUCGAUCAAAUGGUGGUUGGCGAAUUUUGCAACACUUCUUUAUAAUUUUUUUUUUAUUCCAAAGGUAUCUUCCACUAAAAAUCAUGUCUUUAUACACCUGAACAAAAUAACAUUCUUAUCACCAUUUUAAAUGUUUUUUGGUUACAUUCUUGAUUUUCAUCAUUUAAAAGUUUUUGGGUGUGCAUGUUAUCCCCUUCUCAAGUCCUACAACAAACACAAACUUGAACCAAAAACCACACAACACAUAUUUUUAGGCUAUCCUUACAACUUUAAAGGCUAUAUUUGUUAUAAUUCAUUAACCAAACAAACCAUUGUUUCAGACAUAUUAUCUUUCAUGAAAUAAUAUUUCCCUAUGCAAACACUUCAACUCCUUCUCCAUCCCAACCUCAAUCCAUUUCUCAUCCUAGCAUACUACUCACCUUACUAAACAUUUCACAUUGUAUAUCCUCAAACUCUGCCUCCAUUCCCAAUAUACAAUAUCCAACUCCUAACCUUCCAUUGUUAACACUACUUGCUCAUCUUUUAUGGAUACUAAUGCCACUUGUCAGUCUUUCAUGUUUCAUCUACUGUCGAUAUAGGAAAUGAGAUAGAUGUUGCCGCAAACAACAUACUAGUUCCACCAUCCCCUCGCAACACUCAUGUUAUGCAAACUCGAGCGAAAUCAAGUAUUUUUAAACCAAAGAUCUUUCAUAUCACAAUGUCUCCCAACUCCCACAUCAUACACUGAAGCCUUCAAAUAGCAUAAAUGACAAACUACAAUGUGUGAGGAAAUCAAUGCUCUUCAAGCUCAAGGUACUUGGUCCUUAGUACCUCAACAUCCAUCUAUGAAUAUUGUUGGUUGUAAAUGAUUUUUUUGCACAAAAUAUAAUCCUAAUGGCUCUGUUGCUCGUCACAAAGCGUGACUAGUUGCUAAAUGUUAUCACUAGGUAUAGGGUUUUGAUUUUGACGAAACUUUUAGUCUAGUUGUCUAGAAACCCACUAUACAAAUUAUUCUUGUCCUCGUUGCUUAAAUAAUUGGUUUUUAACCCAGUUAGAUGUAGAAAAUGCAUUUCUUGAUUGUAUUCUUCAGGAAACAAUGUACACGUCUCAACUUAUUGGCUUCUAAGACAAAACAUAUUUAAUUAAUUUUUUAUUCAAAUUUUAUUUGAAUGAAUAUCUCUCCAAUAUCUUAUAGAUUUAUAUCAAUAUAAUUAGUUAAAUUGAUUUAAUUAAUAUUUCAUUUAAAUCUUAUUUGAAUGAAUAUUUUUCCUAUAUCUUAUAAAUUUAUAUUAAUAUAAUUAAUUAAAUCAUAUUUAAUUAAUAUUUCAUUCAAAUCUUAUUUGAAUAAUAUCUUUGCAAUAUCUUAUAGAUUUAAUUAAAUCAAAUUUAGUUAAAUAAAACUAAAUUAUUAAUUAAUUCUUCAACUAAUUAAUAGCUAAAUUAAAUAUCUUAUAUUUAACUUAUUAAAUUUGAAUCAUAUUCAAAUAUAAGUUUCUCUCGUAACCAAUAAUUUUAAUAUGAAUCUAAUUCACAUUAAAUUAAUAUUUGAACUCAUAAAAAUACUUUAUCUCUCAGAAAUUAAUUUUGAAUCAUAUCCAAAAUUAAAUUUAUAUAAUAAAUUUCGAUAAACUUUAUAUUAUAAUGUAUCAUUAUACAUUAAACUAAUUCUCAAAGUAAAUUUGAACAUUUCAAAUUACAACCAAUAUGAAUAAAUCUCAUUAUCCAUUACGAGCUAGGAAGGGGACUUAAUGGACCUACAGAUCAGAAGCUACAACCAUCUAAACUUAAUUGGCUAAACUCAUUAACUACAUUAAUCAAUAUUCAUUAACUGUGUGUUCACUCCACUAAAGACUCACGACUUAACUCUUCUCACUGUAGAUAUAUUUAUGUGUCCACAUACAUAGAUCAAUAACAAUAAGUUAGUCUUUCACGAGUGUUCGUAACACCAGUUGGGUCAAUUUAUCGUUUUUACCCCUAGGUUAUCUCUAAUCCUUAAAUACCAGUGCUCCUCUAAUGAACAACUUGUUUAUAAUCCUACUAAUAAACAGAAACCCCUCUCAUUUCAUAGAGAGGGUAGGACCGUUUGUUCAAGACUUGGAGACACCAUUUAAGGGAACACUCAUCUACUUAUCCUAAAAUAGAGAAGAAGUGAAUUCCAUCUUGUGUAAUUAUGUUCUCAGCUCUCCACUCGGUCUUGUCUCCAAAAUGAUAAACAUAUUGAGUCGACGACCUAGCCACUCUCACUCGUACAAAUCAAAGGACAAUUCCUCGCGAGCAGGAGUUCAUAAUACACCUAGGAUUAAGACUAAGUUGCCUAGGUCAUCCUAGUGAAAUAGAAACCUAACUAGUUAACGGAGUUACAUCUAAUGGUUACUAUUUUGCGCUCCAAUCUUAUGCAAAUUCAUUUCAUAGGAUACCCUCACUCGCAUGUUAACUACACGAACACGUUGAAUCAUUGUGUUUGUACCAAAUACAAAGUGAGUCGUAUCCAUAUGUUACUAGGAUAAGUUACCUAACCUUAUCCCUAUAUUAUGGACUCUUUAAGCUGAUGUCGAACAUUGAUCCUUGUAUGUCUCUACAUACUAUUCAAGACUCAUUAAACAACUUAAGAUGUUAGUUUAUUGGAUUUGGGUUAUCAAGAAAAAUCUAAUAAUAUAAUUAAUAACAAUUGUUACAAUAAUAACACUUUAUUAAUAAUAGUUAAUGGAUUAUAUUUACAAUCGACGAGUUUUAGAACAUAAAUCCAAUAAAUGUUUAUGCUAUAUCUCUGGCUCAUAAUCCAGUUUUUCAUGCUCAAACUAAACACAUUGAGAUUGAUUACCACCUUAUUCGGAAAAAGUUUCUUCGUAAAGACAUUUUCGUUUGUUACAUCUCUUCCAACAACCAAACUUGCUGGUAUACUCACAAAGUCACUCAUGUCUUCAACAUUUCUUCACCUUUGAGACAGACUACUAAUUACGCAACCUAAGUUGAGAAAGGAUAUUAGGAGAUAUUUCAGAUCCACAAUCUUCUCCUAUUAUUUAGGCCUUUAUUGUAAAUUGAUUUCAUUAUAAUUUACCAUAUUUACUCCUUUGUAAUCUGUAUAAAUGUUGUUUCAUAUCAAUGAGAAAAGAUCAAACAAUACAGAUUUAUAUUUAUCAUUUAGAAGCCUUACAUGGAUAUCGGGCAAAGCUGAGCAAGCUAUUGUGCUUUGAGAAGUUUAAGCUCUACAAGAGGAAUUUGAAGCUAAAAUUUGGAGAUUAGUAAGAAAUUGUGCUUAUUAACAUUAUUGAUGAAGGAUAUUUGUGCUAAUUCUACCCAUAAAUAGUUGAAUUUGUACGAAAAUUGGGGCUACACGAAAUUUUGGUUGAAAAGCAUGCGCAUUACUUUUGGAGUCGAUUUUGGGGUAUUCAAGAGUUUUUAAAGUUUUAAAUGUUGAGGUUAUUUAGUUAAAAGGUUCCAAAGAAAUUUGGAAUGAUUUGGUCGGGUAUUGAAAAAUUUUGAGUUAGUUUUUUUAUUAAAAUAAUUAACGCGUUUAGGUUGUAAAUCAUUGGAAGAGUGAAGAUUUUCUCUCGUACCAAUCAUGCAAAUGAGAAACUUUCUUAACAAAAAAUGUAGAACUUUGAGUAAGGAUGAAUUUCGUGAAAUUUUUUAAAAAGAAAACCGUGAUCGAAAAAGUUGCCAGUUUGAGAGAAAACAACGGCUUGUGCAAAUUUUCACAAAAGUAGAGCAACAUGGUUUAAAUUGAAAUUUCAGACUAUUUGAGGUCUAGGUAAUUUAAUUUGGAGGUAGUUAAAUAGUUUUGUAAAAGAAAUUUGAAUGGUUUUAGAGCUAGAUUGUAUGAAAUGGAAGCUUAAAAACCUCGAGUAAAGUUGCCAAAAAAACAAGGGUAAGUUGCAAAAAGAUGUUUUACAUUUUUUUUCCAUCAUUAAAAGCCUAUUUUGGCUUUAGAGUUAUUUAAGUAAUUUGGAGCUAUAAGAUACUCUACUUGACAAAUGAAUUAUUUGGAGGAUUGAAGGUUGGUUCAUGUAUUUGGAAAUAUUUAAGUGAAUUGAUAAGAAUGUUUAAACUCUAAAUUGAUAAGAAUGUUUAGUUCUCCAUAGUAUAUUCCCUCUCUCUGGCUAAAUUCCUUUGCUACAAGUCUUCCUUUGAAGGUCUGUACAUUUCCAACAACAUCUCAUUUUCUGUGUAGAUCAAUUUACAGCGAAUAUGUUUGACCCUAUUUGGUUGAUAUAUAAGCUCCCAUAAAAAAUUGAAGUACAUUCACUCCAUUUUGAGAUCCAUGACAUUAAUCCACUGAUUUCUAUCGACAUCAUUAAUUGUCUGUUUAUAGGUCAAUGGAUUAUUGACACUGUCAUCAGACAUGUCAAGUUGUGUUUCUAUUAAACCUAAGUAACUAUCAAAUGAUGGAUAACCCUUCCACUAUGUCGAGACAAUCUCAACUCUUCAGAAGAAUGUGAUCGAUCAAAUUAAAGGUGCUAACUACAUCAACUACUUUAGCAGAAGGACCAACCUUAUAAAAAACUUUUGUUGAUUUAUCUGUAGCUUUUACAAAAAUAUUGUUUAAUACUAGUUUACUGCGAGGUUGAUAAUUUUUCAUGUGGUCUUCGCCUAAGAAUGUAGCAUUUGUUGGCACAAAUAAUUUAUUUGUCACCAGUUUCAUCAUCAAAUCAAGGAUGAAAGAAAUUAUAAAUAGGAAAAAUAAAGUGUUGUUUGUUGUGUGACUAAAUAAAUGGAAAAUAGGUUAUAUAGAUUACCACUUAUCGGAAUGAAGAGCAGCAACGAUAGAUGACGACGAACGGCAACGACAGAUGACAAUAUCUCUUAUUCUCGGUCUCUCUCUCAACUCUCUCGACCUUCUCCUUUUUAGUUCUGUGAAUACAGAACUAGAAGUUGGUUUUUAUAGGGGAACUGUUGACACAUGUCGAAGAUGUUGGGAUACCCCUAUAUUUCCGAUGUCAUAAGUAAAACGUUGGGAAUAGUUUUCACCUCUCCCGAUGCUUUAUUAAUGACGUCGAGCAUAGGGUCCUACCUCUCCCGACGCCUCUUGCAUGGCAUUGAGGGAAGUUGAAAUAUUAUUUUAUAGUAUACUUUUCUCGACGUAGUCAACAUAUAGACCUCAACAUUUCCUUUACCCUCCCUGACGCUCUGCACAUAGACGUCGGAGAAAUACAAUAAUUAAAUAUUUAAUUUAUCUUUUGCCCACGUCUUGAACUACGUUGCCAGGACUACGAGUAUUGACUGAUGUGUAUUCUUUAGCGUCGGAGAUGAGGCAUUUUUUCUGAUCGUGCGUUUACUGACACCUAUUGUGGCGUCGACCCCUAUUUCUUGUAGAGUAGUCGAUCACUUAUUAAGACCAAAAUGAUGUGACCAAUAUCUAAACAAUCCUAGUUCGCGAUCGUGUACCAAGAUAAUUUAUAUUUAGUAAAAGAUCAUGUUUCAAUAUUGUUUAGAUUUGGUACACGAUCGUGUACCAAGAUCAAACCAAUCGUAUACCAUGAUCAAAAUGAUUUUUGUUCAAUAUCAUGUACCAAGAUCGUUUAGAUUUAGAAGGUGAAAUAUAUGAGAGAUAACAAAAGAGGAAGAAAUUUUGGAGGAGGAAAUGAAAAAAUCACAAACAAGAUCAAGUGGAAAUAUGACGAACAAGAAGAAGUCAAUAGUAUAAAGAAAUUAAUAAUAUAGCGUGGGUGUUGAAAGACACUUUAUCUUUUUUAAUUAGUUGGGUGGGUAAGUGUUACCAUCAAUCUAUUAUUUCAACCUCCCAUUUCUUUUAUUGCUUAUGCAUACAAACUCAUACAAAGUUGUGGAUAACUUUUUAUUGGUAAUGCAUGCCUUUUCUUUUUUAUAAAAAGAAUAAGGGUAUAUUUAUUUUAUAAAAUUUCAAUUUUGUCACGUUGCCAAAAUCAAUAAUUACAACUUUAGAUUUUAUAAGUUGGAAAAUUGAACUUCAAUUUCAAAAAUGGUUGUACUAAAAAAGGUUGGUAAACUAUUACUCUUUGAUACCAUGCACUCACUUACAAAUAUUAGUCUCUUUGCUAGCUUGUUUUCUAGUGGGCAUUUCUUAAUUUGUGUUGUAUUUCCAAUAAAUAAAUACAAUAUAAGAAAAUGAAAUUUACCAAAGAAUAAAAUCGUAGAUGAAAACAAUAAUGUUUUUUCUUAGAAAAAAUGUGAAAAAAAAGAAGAAAGAGAUAGAUGUAUUGAUAAAUGAGUGAAUAUGAAUUUUAAAGUCAGUCUACAUGUAGUAAGAGAUUAUAUUUAAAAAAGUUAAGAGUAGGAAUGUAGAAAAUAAGAACUGUUGUAUUAAGAUUUGAAACAUAUUUAGGGAUUUUUAUUUUUGGGGUUUGUAAUUUAAUUACAAAUGGAGUGUAAAAGAUGAUAGCUACAUGAUGCACACUUCUCUUAAAAACUUUCCAUAUUAAUUACUGUUUGCAGCCACUUGGCCAUACUUGAAGUGAACAUUAGGAGACAACCCUUUUCAUUAGGGUAUUAAAGUCAUGAAAUGGUUUCCAAAAUUCAUGAUACAGACAUCCACUUCCCUCACUUCCAAUUAUCUCCUAAUACUUUCAUUCUUAUCCAUCCUUGUUUCAUUUCUAUUUUAGCAUUUACUCCAACAAGUAUAUUUGAUCAAAAGUUAAUUUAAAAAGUGGACUAUGUGUGUUUUCGUUUGGUGUUGUUUACCUGUCUUCUGACGCGCAUCACAUUCAUAUCACAAUCCAUAAACAAAAACCUAAAUUAGAUUUCUAAGCGAAAGGUGAUCAAUUCAAUUGCAUUUGAAAAUUACGUCUUACUGUUAGCGUUUGUGUUUGGGUUAUGGUUAUACUGCAUUUUGACGAUGUUACUAAGUCAUGUAGUAUGCUUAUAUCUCCACGGCGAUGGCGAGGAGAAAAUAAAAAAUUAAUUGGGUUUUUAAUUUGUGUCAUUAAAUUUUAUACAAUUUUGCCUCCCACGAUUUUCUCUCACAUUAACCAUUUGAAUGUUGGUUGACCCCCACCUAUCACUAUAUAUAUUAGUCUUUCCCUUCUUCCUAAAAACUCAUAAAUCGAUCUUCCUCUUUGUAAUAUUCUUUGUUUUAUAAAAAAAGGUCUCCCGAGCAGUAAUCGUGUGUUUGCCAUUGAGUGUUCUUUAAUUUUGAAUUGAUUUCGGUGCAAAAUCAAUUGAAGACCGAGAGACUGUAUUUUAAUAUGGGGACGACGGGACAAUUAUUUUUUUUUGCACAAACAAGAGUAGAGUCGUGAAACCCUAAACGUCUUAAAGAGAACGUGUUUCGCGACUCAGCUGUAUAUUAACUUGUUUUCGAUUCCACGACUCAGCUUUCAGUACUGAUCUAUUUUGGUGUUCUAAUUCGUAUGCAAUAUAGUUUGCCGAACAAACUGAGACGUGAGAUAUAGACCGAAGUGCAACAACAAUUUUAAGACAUUCGAUUUGCUACGAUGGUCGUACCAUUCCAAUCCGAUUUGAUGUCUUUUGAUCUCAACCGACCUUUCCAUUUUGAAGGAGCACACUUCAAAAGGUGAAAAUAAAAAAUCCUAUUUUUUCUCAAGUUAAAGAAGGUCGAUGUCGCUUGUACCAUUGAGAAGUCAACUUUUCUAAAAGACGAAUACAACAGAAAUAAAUCAAUGAUCUAGCAGCAUGGUUAGGAACUGAUUUCAUAUAUAAAAUCUAAUUCUUAAUGAACUUACUAAUGAGUUAGAUGACUAUUAUAACACAAUGUCAACUGUGAAAUAGAUGUGGGAUGCAUUGCAAAAGAAAUAUGAUUUUGAGGAAGCGAGGUUAAAAUUGUACGUGGUGAGCCGAUACUUGCAAUAUCAAAUGACUUAUGUUAGAUUCCUAGAGGCUCAAUCGCAUGAAAUCCAAAAGAUGGCACAUGGAAUUAUCAAUGAAGUUAUGAUGUUAGACGAUUAAUUUUAAGUUGUGAGUUAUCAUUCACAAAUUUUUCUUCUAUGUGGAAAGAUUUCAAGAACGCUCUAAGGCACAAAAUCAACAAGUUCUCACUAGAAAGUCUUACCACGAAAUUAAGGAUAGAAGAGGAGGUGAGAAAGAAUGAUCAAAAGGAGGAGGUGAACGCAAUUUCCAUAAAGAAGUCUAUUGCAAUUCUGAAACCAAAUCUGAAACUGAAAGGAAACAACAUGAAACGAGGAUCCAAUAAAUAGAACAACCCCUAGUCUAGAAGUACGAUAACAAAUUGUUUGUUAUAAUUGUAAUAAGUGUGGAACUUAGCUAGAAAUUGUAGAAACAGAAAUUGUUCUACUGCUAGACAAACCUAGUAGAAGAAGAUUUAGUAGCUAUGAUUUCUGAAGUUAAUGUUAUUGAGGCACUACUACAAAACUGGCAAUACUUUACGCUUAAAAACUUUCAAGUAUCUGUUUACUUAAUAUUUUUCAAUGUGUCAAGUAAUCCAGUGUCAAGAAUAAGAGAAGUUUAUUUGACAGUUUUAUGUGUCAAGUACAAUUAUACUUGACAGGUAAAAAGUGUCAAGUAUAUAAAUUAUACUUGACACUUUUUACGCGUCAAGUAAUCCAGUGUAAAAAAUAAGAGAGUUUUUUGUUUGACAAUUUUUAUGCGUCAAGUAAAUAUAUACUUAACAAUUUAUGAAUGUCCAGCAUUUGUUUAUUCUUGACACGUUUUACAUGUCAAGACUUUUUUUCUUCUUUCAAAUGAAAAAAUUGUACAACUUGAAAUACUCGUAUAAUUAUAUUGCACAUGUUUUGAAAUCUAACAAUAAUAUACAACAUGAUCAACUAAACUAUUUACAUGUCUUGAAUCAACCCCAAACCUUCAAUCAAACAACUAACAAAUUGCAUAUAUAUCAUUGCACAUAUAUAUAUAGUUGAUCAUUACAAUAUACUUACAACAUAAAACAUAUAUAUAUUGUUCUAUUACAAAACGAGUUAUGAACAUUGUUCUUAAUAAUAAAACCUAAAUUAUAUGUAAUAAUAAGUGUUGUUCACAAAAAUCACAUCAUCCUAAAAUCUUAUUCACAGUUAAGUUGUCGGUCAUCAAUGUAUUUUUCGUGAGUCAAGUAUUCAAUGCACAACUCCUCCACAAGAUCUUGUUGUUUCCUAAGCCUUGUUGACGUACCAAAUAUAUAAGCUUAUGGUUGUCUAGAGUAUUUUUCCUGAAAAUACAAUGCCAGUGUUAGCAAAAAUCAUACUUUCAAAGUCUAUACAUACUUUCAAAGAUGCUUCAUACUUUCAAAGUCUGUAAUAUUCAGUCUUAACUGUCAAGCAAACAAGAAAUAAUAGGCAAGGCAAACUGUCAAGGUAAAGUCUUCUUUGAUCUCGGAGUUUGUGAAGGGAGGACCUUCAUCUAUCUUGGCUGCAGUUGCCAAGUCAGGGUGUAUUGUUGGCUUCUCAUUAAUAUUUAUCUCUGAAAUUGGGGACUAGGUGACUUUUUCUUUUCAUCAGAAAUUCAUCUGUAUCAAACCAGAGAUGUUUUCAAUUUUAUCCAAAUUCUAAAUGUGGAUAUCAGUAUAAGGAUUGUUCAUAUCUACAUAAUUUAUGGCAAAAAAUAUAGAUAAAUAAAGAAAAAUUAAACAACUGAAAUAAUGUGACUAAUCCAUUGAGAUGGGAAAGCUUGAAAAUUGACCUUGUUCAACCACGUUACAAUUCAGAGAAUUUCUAGUGGAGUUACCAAAAUAUUACAAAAUUUCAAGAUGCUAAUCGUUUAUGUGGCUCAACUUCUUGAUCUAGCAUAUUUAGUGUCUCAACCUUUUAGAAUUUAGAAGGCAACAAAAAUGGCUGAACACUGAUUCGAGAAUAACAACCAAGUCCUUAAGGAAUAACAAAACAAAUCUCCAAUCAAAUGGUGGGAACAGGAGAAACUAAGGUGAGUGAGAACUAAAAUGAGGAAGUCCAAAAAAUGAAAGAGUACUUAGAAUCCUUCAUUGACAAAACCUCUGUAAAAAACUAGAUUAUUAUACCCAAACAUUGACAAAAUCUCAUAUACUACUUAAAACUAAAAAAACAAGAAGCAUGCAAUAAUAUUGAAUUCAAACAUGUGCUAGUUUUAAAAUAAUUAAUUCCACUAACUUUAAUAAAUUACAUUUGUGUCUUUAGAUCUUUUUUUUCCUUCCAAACAGAAUAAACAAUUUGAAACUUCAACCAAUACACAAUAUCAUAAAAACUAGCAGCCUGAUCUUAAAUUUGCUAAAACUAGAAAGAAAAGAGAAGAAAAAGAAAACAACAGAAUCCACCAAAAAUUCCAAAUAACCAAACCAAGCAGAAGAUCAAAGCAAUGAAAAAUCCAAGGAAAACCCAGAAACCAUAAGGCCAAUAGAGAGAAAAAACAUAAAUAAUAAGAGAAGAAAAGAAAAGGGUCAAAGAUUCAUAUAUAUAUAUAUAUAUAUAAAUGGAGAUAAGAGUGUUACUGUGAGUUCCUUGAGAGGGGUGGGCAUUUUGAACUUUAGCAGAAGAAUCUAACCAGUUUACCCAUUGGGAUGGAAAGAAUAGAAAACAAAAAAAUUGGGAAAAAAUGGAAGGGAGAGGGAAGAGAGAAAUGAAGAAAAAGUAAAGAGAGAAAGUUGGGGUUCUUUAAAAAAGGCAAUUAAAAUAGAAGUGUACAUGCAAAAAAUAGGAGUGCACCUUCCCUCGCUCUCUUCCAUCAAUUCCUUCCAAAUCCAUUAUAAGUGUACAUGGCUCGAUGCCAGCACAUCUAGUCAACCUAUACCUUUAUUCUUUGCAACCUAGAAAAUGACAUCAAUUUUCCACUCUUCAGCCACAUAGCCCAAAUAAACUAAAGAUAUACCAUUAAAAGUUCGAAAUAUACCACUAAACUUUUACAUAAUUUCAAAAUCAUCCGUAUUGACUUCAUUAAAGAAAUAUAUAUUGUUGAAGGAUCUAAUUAUAAAUACAUAUAUAAUUUGUUUGAACAGUAUCAUAUUUAUGUAUUACUUAGAUGGAAAAUUUGAAAUCUAAACUACAGAUGAAGGGACCAAGUUGUAACAUACAUGCAAAUGCCACUUCACGAUGCAAAUCCUUGUUGUGAUGCUGUGAAACUUCCCCUGACCCAUGUAUUAAACAAUGCACCCACACUAAAAACCAAAAGUUAACUUUUUUAAAAAAAAAAAUCCAAAAUACUCAACCACAUAGAGAAAACUGAGAUGAAAAAGAAAUAUCCAAAAACAAGGAACCAAAUCCUAGGAUGACAAAGAAAGGAGCUGCUGUAAAGGGAACAGACACGACAAAUAACAAAACAGUGAUGAGAACAAAAGUAAGAACCCUAGAACAAAUUAGUUCACAAAGUACAGUAAGGAAACAAAUACUUCAGUUAUAUUUUAAAUAAAAUAAAGAACGAUAUAUCAUAAAAAUAAAACUUGAGAAAGACAAUUCCUAGAAACAGAAGCAACAAAGUCUUCAAAUAAAAUUAUAUAUCAUCAUCAAUAGAGACCCACUCAUAGAUGUUCUGUUGCUUUGAAUAAUUAGUAUUAAGAUAUGGUUUCAACACAACUUGAAGCCAUAAAACCUUGCAAACUUCUUGAAUGUGUAUUGAUAGACUUGUUUUUAUCUCCAGAAUAUCAAAUUUAAGAAGAUGACAUUUAAUAUUACUUGUCAUCUUCAUCAAGAUGACAAGUAAUGAUACUAGCCUUUGCAACUAUUUCCCAUCAAUAUAUGUCGUAAAUUUGCAAACCUUUGCAACUAAAAAAUCUGAUAAAAUUUCAUUGCCUUCCAAGCAACUCAUGUUCCAAUAGUAUUUCACAAUGUCAAGAUGGUCUGGGAGGCAAUUUGGAAAGCAAAUGGGCCUACCAUGAAAUUUUAAGAAAAUAUGAACUUCAAUGUUCGAUGUUUCAUUAUAUAGAAGUAUUGAUUUCAUUCAUAGAAAUGGACCUGUACGCUUCAAAAGAACUAAAAAUUUCUUUAGAAAACAAAUAAGUUACACCAAUUCCCAAUUUCUCAUGCCAAAAAAAAAACAAUGAGUUUCCCUCGGAAAAAUAGUUAGGUUGGACUGUGAACUCAAGAAUCAAGAUGUAGUAACUGAAUUAAUGUGUUCUAUACGUAUUUUGAAGUGUUUGAGACUAAAUCAAAAGGUAAAGAAACAGAUGAACAACCUGAAGAUUCACAAGUUGAAAAGGGCAUCCUGAAGGGACAAAAAAGGUUUCUCCAAAACGCUGCUCAAAUGUCCAAGGCUCUACCCCUGAAAGUAAAGUCAGAGUUGUGAAGGAGAAUAGCUUUUCUACUCAGUUUCUUUCAUUUCAUGAGGUUAUAAACUUACCUUUAAAACGCUGGUACAGAAAUUCAAAAGCUUUCGAGCUAAUUGAACCUUCUCCUUCAAGUUCCAAUACUUUCUGUUUCUCCAACUCAAUAAAUCUGCACAGGCACAUUAAGACAUAUUGAUUGGUAUGGAUUGACAAUUUUCUUGUUGAAAAGAUGAUUUGUAUGUACUGUAGAUAGUUGGUUCUUCAAUAUGAUUAAAACUUAUAUGGCUUGAGCAAAUAGAAAAGUACUAUUUCUGAUUGAAGGAAAAGUGACUGAAAUCAAACUUUUAUGUCAUAGGGUUAUCAAAUAGUCAAAUGUUCUGCCUAAAAAGCAUUAUGGUUUUACAUUACUUUUAUGUUCUGCCAGUGGUGUAAGGUUGAUGAGGAAUUAUAAGAUCUUCAAUUCUUCAUGGAUAAAUUUAAAGGGCUAGAGGAUGUUUGGGUGAAGUUCAUGAGGAUGAAAAUGACUACGCACCCUCCCACCUAACAAAACCAAAGGAAGUUCUAAAGUAGCCCUUCGUUAAGUUUUCAAAACUUUCGCAACAGUGCCAAGUGUUUAUUGAUCCCUUCAAAACCGAGAGCAUUUUUCCAAAGCAACUUGUAAGGCCAAGAUUUCAGCAUGAAAUGUGUUAAAAAUGAAGGAAAUUCAAGUAUUGCAUGCAACUAUUCCACACAUUUACCAAUGUCCAUUUACCUUUUUUCUGUGGGAAAUGGUUACGCUACUGAUCACAUGUUUAAGUUGAACUUGGAAAUCAAUAAGAAUUUAUUUUCUACUUACAUGUUGUUUACUUUUAAUGUUGGACAUGCUAGACUUUAUUAUGUUAAUAAAAGACUAAUUAACAACAUGAGUAGGUUAAAUCUUAUACCUAAGUUAUCUAUGCAUGAAUUUGAGAAAAUGUGCAUGUUAUUGUCAAGAUAAAAUAACAAAAACUUUGCAUAAGUCUAUAACUAGAGUAACAGAGUCUUUAGAAUUAAUCCAUUAUGCCUUAUGUGAAUUCGAUGACACAUCAACUAGUAACAGUAAAAGGUGUGUAAUAACUUUUAUAGAGGACUGUUCCGACUACACAUGUAUUUACUUGCUUAAAAAUAAAAGUGAUGUCUUUGACAUGUUCAAGGUGUAUGUAACUAAAAUAGAGAAUCAGUUUAACAAAAGAAUUAAGAGACUUCAUAGUGAUAGAGGAACUGAAUAAGAUUCAAAUGCCUUCAAUGAGUUUUAUAACUCGAAAGGAAUAAUACACAAAACAAUUGUACCUUACUCUCCUGAAAUGAAUGGAAAAGCUAAAAGGAAUAAUAGAAUUCUAACUGAGUUGGUAGUUGCUAUCUUACUUGAAUCAGGAGCAGCACCAUCUUGGUGGGGUGAAAUAAUUAAAACUGUUAAUUAUGUCCUUAAUAGGAUUCCUAAAUCAAAUAAUAAAAUUUCACCAUACGAAGUCUUUAAGAAUAAAACAUCAAACUUGUCUUAUCUUAGAACUUGGGGUUGUCUAGUCUAUGUUAGAAUAACUGAUCCAAAGAGAAGAAAAUUAGCCAGUAGAGCCUAUGAAUGUGCUUUCAUAGGAUACGCUGAAAACAGUAAAGCCUAUAGGUUUUAUGACUUAGAGAACAAAGUAUAAUCAAAUGACGUAUAAUUUUUUUAGGAUAGAUUUCCUUUUAAAUCUAGAAAUAAUUGGGGUUUAAAUAGUCGAACUAUUGAGGGUAGAAGUUGAAGUAGUCUACCUUCAAUUAGGAUCCAAACCCAAGAAAAGGAAGUAGAUCCUGAACCUAGAAGAAACAAGAGAGCUAGAACUAUAAAAGAUUUUAGAGAAGACUUCAAAAUGUAUAACAUAGAAGAUCCAAAAGAUCUAACAAAAGCCUUAUCCUCAGUAGAUGCCAACUUAUGGUAAGAAGCUAUCAAUAAUAAAAUGGAUGCUCUUGAAUCCAAUAGAACUUAGCACCUAGUUGACUUACCCCUGGCUGCAAAUGGGUUUUAAGAAAAAAACUAAAACUUGAUAAACACCAAUGGAUACGUAUAAGGCUAGACUAGUAGCAAAAGGAUUUAAACAGAGGAAAAACAUAGAUUUCUUCAACAUUUUUUCUUGGUCACUAGAAUCACCUCAAUUAGAGUGUUAUUUCUAUAGCUGCCUUGAACCAUUUCUUAAUCCAUCAUAUAGAUGUCAAAACUACUUUCCUAAAUGGUGAUUUAGAAGAAGAGAUUUAUAUGGAACAACCUUAAGGUUUCAUAGUUCACGACCAAGAAUUCAAAGUUUGUAAACUUGAUAAAUCCCUCUAUGGCCUAAAACAAGCUCAUAAGCAAUGGUAUGAAAAGUUUGACAACUUAAUCAUGUCCAAAGGAUUCAAAGUAAAUGAGAGUGACAAAUGUAUAUAUCUAAUAUAAGACUGAAGAUAGGUUAUGUACUGUCAUAUGCUUAUACAUAGAUGACAUGUUAAUCUUUGGAUCAAAUUUGCACAUCACAAAUGAUGUAAAAUCUAUGUUGAGUGCAAACUUUGACAUGAAAGACUUAUGAGAAGCUGAUGUAAUCCUAGGUAUCAAAAUUACAAGAAUUGAAAAUAUAACUUUCUUAGAUCAAACUCAUUACAUAGAAAAGAUUCUAAAGAAGUACAACCACUUUUAAAGUAAACCAACUUGUACACCCUCGGACUCUAGUGUUAAAUUGUUCAAAAACACUAGUGAUAGUGUCAAUCAAUCCAUGUAUGCUACUAUCAUAGGUAGUUUGAGGUAUGCUACUGAUUAUACUAAACCAGACAUAGCUUGCGUUGUAGGAUUACUAUGUGGGUUUACCAGCAGAUCUAGUCUAGAACACUGAAAUACUAUAGAAAGAGUAAUAAGAUAUCUUAAGAAGACACAAAAUCUAAGAUUUAAUUAUCAAAGUUUCCCGCUGUACAUGAAAGUUAUAGUGAUGUUGAUUGGAACUCCCUCUCAGAUGACUCAAAGGCUAUAAGUGGCUAUAGGUUGGAGCUCAUGAUCUAUAGGUCCAUUAAGUUCCCUUACUAGCUCAUAUGGAAUAAACUUAGAAUAGUACGAUGGAAUGAGUCGAAGUAUUUGAAUUAGAUGAUGGGAGAGAAACCAACAAGUAUAUGUGAUAUAGCCAUCAGAUUUCAUAUUACAGAAAGCUUUAUGUUUAAAUGAGAUUUAAAUAUUAAAAUUAUGAAUGCAAAUAGUCAAAGUUGUAAAAAGUCAAAUGUUGACUUUUUUACAUUGAAAAGUCAAACUUUGGCAGACAAUAUAUUUAAAUGUGAUUUGAAUCUUGAGAAAAUGAAUGUGGAUUGAUGCUUGAGAGUUCAAAAUUAGACAACAAGGAGAAUUUGUACAAAGUCAAAAAUAUUGACAUUUGAUUUGAAAAAUCAAAGCUUAACUUUGACCAAAUGACAUUUUUGCCUUUUGACUAAAAUUAGUGGAAAAAUUCAAUAUUUUGUUCGAUAAUCCCACUAACUAUAGUGGGCUAGGUGUUAUCACACUAUGAAGAUAUUAAGUCCACUUAUUGUUAGUGGGUUAUGUGUUGUUGGUCUGUGGGCUUACAUGUACAUACAACUUUGCAUGUAAAUUCAUUAUAAAUUGGGCUCUUGGAUCCAUUGGAAGGGGUUGGUUUUUUUAAAGAUCAAAUUUGGGUUGUUUUCAUUUCCUUUGAAAGUUUAAAAAGAUAAAAAAAAUAUGUUAGCCCAACCCUAUUCCAUAGUUCUAUUUCCAUGUCUUUCUCACUCCCGGGUUCUUUCAUCCAACGGGUCCCACAACACAGUUUUAAGUUCGGAGGAUAACAGGUCAACCUCAGUGUGGUAGUUCGAACAACAAUCAAAGCUUCAAAUAUAAGUAUUCUCAAAACUCUAAUUUCAAAUUAAUUUAUGGUUUAAAACUACGCAUGUUAAUCUUAGAAAUUAGAGUAAAAUUUUAAAUCCGGUUUACGCUAUGCAUGUCUAAAUUCUAUUAACUAAGUACUAAGAUUGACCCAUAGGAUCGACCAUUAAAAACAAAAAUGUUUAAAUUUGCAUAAAUACGAAGAUCAACCUAUAGGGUUGGCCAUGAAGCCAUUAAUAAAUUAGACUUUGUUAAGUAUAUUGGGAGUGACCCAUAGGGUCAGCGCCACAUAAACCAAGAAUGAAUAAAUUUGUCUAAGUAGUAUGAAGAUCAAUCCAUAGGUUUGGACAUGAAGCCAGCAGUAAAUUAUGUUAAGUAUGGAGAUCAAUGUGGAUUAUAUUUAGCUAAAGUAUGAAACUUGAAUCAUAGGAUCAUUGUCCUAAACUUCAAAUAUUUAGGAGAUCAACCUAAAGUCAUAAGUUUGUUUGACCAUGGCACUUAAGAAAAAAAAAAAGUUGAAAUUGUGAUUUUAUUAGGAGUUUUAUUUUAACUUUAUUUGUAGGUUUUGAUGAUGUAAUAAUUGAAUAGUGUUAAGAGCCGGAUAUAAACGUAAGACAAAAAUAAUGUUAAAGGGUCUUUCUUUUCAUGCCUUUUGUCCAAUAAUGGGACAAGAAGAGCCACACCAUUAUGCUCUUAUUAUUUUUCUCCUUAAUUAUAACCCUCACGCCUUCUUACUCUCCUUUCAUUCUCAUUGGGUGUGACUCAUGCCUUCUCUCUCCACAUCACUCUUAUGCAUUCUCUUUUUCUUUCUAUUUUACUUCCAAGAAAGUAUUCUAUCAUUACGAACAUUUAAAUCUCUAUUAUCUUCUUUAUUAAACUUCUACAUUUAACCAAACUAUUUGAUAUGAUUCUCCAUUACCACCCAUGCCUUCUCUUUUUAUUAUUCUUCCAUUUUAAUUAUGAUGCAAAUUGACACUUUUAUAAUAACUACUUUGAGGACAACUGCAUCUAAAACUCUGUCAUAUAUAUAUAUAUAAUAUGGAUAUACAUUGAAUUAUAUUCAAAUAGUAAAUAUGUAAAGUGAUAUUUAAAACUAAUAAAAGAGAUAAUAGGUCACACCGUGGGCCUAUGUAUAAGAAAAACUUGGAUGCUCCUUGUUAGUCAAUAAGACGAUGUAAUGUGACAUUUCUUAUUUUAAACCUUUUUUGUAAUUUUAUUUUCAUACUUGGUAGGAAUAGUUAACGAUAUUAAAGAGUUUUUAAACAAAAACAAAAGUGGCCUCUAAAAUAUUUAAACUCCAUAUAAAAAACGAGGUAAGAUUUUGCUAUUUUUUUAUAAUUUUUCUUUUUCUCUUCAAAUUAAAUAUUGGCUCUAGAUGCAAAUUAGAAUAUAGUAUUUAUUACUUGACAAGAUUUAAUUUAUUCUUGAAAAUAAUCUAUCGUGGUGUCUAUAAAUAAAUAAGAGAAGUUCAUAAUUAAGUUAAAUCAAAUAAACUUGAGAGCUUCGAAUAAGAACUGAUCUGUAUAAGACACUCUCAGCCUCAACAAUGGCUUUUACAACGCUCUCCUUCCCUUCUACAACACCCAUUUCUCAUCUUCAGUAAGCCCACUUUAUAUUUACAAUUUGUAUUCCUUUUUUUUCUUACAAAAUUAAGUCAGUAAAUGUAUUAUUUUGGCACAUUUUAGUUGAUUUUGGUUUAUUUUUAGUUUUUGAUAAUUAAAUCUAAUUGCCUAAUUUUUUAUCAAUGGUUUGUAUCAAUCAUAUGGAAUUAUUAGAGUCAAAUUCCAAAACUCAUUAACAAAACUUUAAAUUCUAUUUAAAAUGCCUCUAAAAAAGUAGAUAUAUUAAAGGUAGAAGAGGUAUUAAUAGAUUUUAAACUUUUUUACAUAUAUUUUGAGAGUGUUAAAAAAACUAAUCACAUUUUGAAAACUAAACAAUCAUGAUUUGGAAUGAAUUUGUUUUCUACUUUCGUUUUUGAAAAUUAAUUAAGCUUAAUUUACUUCUCAUGUUUUACUUACAAUUAUUUGUAUCUUUAAGGGAAAAAAAAAACAAAUUUGUAAAAGUUAUUUUUUGUAGUUUUCAAAAUUUGAAUAAGAAGUAAAUAACAAAUGAAUUGAAUGUUAAAGUAAAAUGUGUAUCUAAGUUACAAAAGUUAUAAAUUGUUACUUUUAAGUCAUGAGGGUGGCUUCAAAUGAAUACUUUUCAUGUCACUUGUUUGAUAACAACUUGUCCUCUUCACAUUUUAAUAUAGACAAUGGAAAGACCAACAAGCUAUCAACCAUGCCAAACCCUAUACCACAACUGUUUUUGGUCAACCCUCCAAAUUCCUCUCCAUCAUCAAACCUUCUAAACUCCAUCUAACUACCAACCGCUCCGUCCAAGACAGUGCUAUCAGAUCUUUUAAUUCUAAUGUCGAUGUCGAUGUCACCAUCACCGACAAUAUCAUCUUCGGCAUCGAUGGCAAGCCAGUUUCGGUUGACGAGACCGAUUUGGACCGUCCAACGGAAGGGUUUUCAUCCAUUGAGGAAGCGAUUGAAGAUGUUAAGACAGGAAAGGUGGGAGUGGUUGUUAAUGUCAUAAAUUAAACGUUGAUCAUCAUCUUUAUGUGUUGCGAUGUGUGACAUGGUAGCUGGAUUCGUGUUUUUUUUUCUUUGCUUUUGUUUGUAGAUGGUGGUUGUUGUUGAUGAUGAAGAUAGGGAAAACGAAGGAGAUCUGAUAAUGGCGGCAGAGGCAGUGACGAAGGAGACGAUGGCUUUCAUUGUAAAGCAUGGAACUGGGAUUGUUUGUGUGGGGAUGAAAGGAGAAGAUUUGGAGAGGUUGAACAUUCCAUUAAUGGUGGAUCACAAGGAUAACCAAGAGAUGCUCUCUACUGCUUUUACCAUCACUGUGGUAGUUAUGGAUUUUCAUUUCAGAUUUGAUUCUGUUUUCUACUUUCAAAAAUAUUUCUAGAAUCUUAACUCUAGGUGGAGAAAAAAAAAAUAGAAACUAAUAAAAACAAAAAAAACUUAAAGAAGCUAUAGUGUUUCAAUUUUUUUUUUUUAAUACAAUGUCCAUUUGUUUUGGAAAUCAAUGGAUGAAAGAUAGGGCUAAUAUUUUGUUGAUAAAAUAUAAAAUUUAGGUUGAGAUAUUUGUGGUAAUGAAUGAAUUAAAAUUGUGAAGGAUGGAAGAGAUGGCACAACGACGGGAGUUUCAGCGGAGGAUAGGGUGGCGACGGUGUUGGCAUUGGCAUCAAAACAUUCAAAACCAUAUGAUUUUAAACGACCAGGCCAUAUAUUUCCCCUCAGAUAUAGAGAAGGGGGGGUUUUGAAAAGGCCUGGCCACACUGAAGCCUCUGUCGACCUUGCCCAGCUCGCUGGACUCUUUCCCGCUGGUAUUCUCUGUGAGAUUGUGGACGACGAAGAUGGCUCCAUGGCUAGACUCCCCAAGCUUCGCCAGUUUGCAAAACAUCAUAGUCUCAAAAUCAUCUGCAUUGCUGACUUGAUCAGGUGAUCCCUUUUACUUACAUAAAGUGGGUUGUAUAAUAAGAAAUAAAAUUUGAAGCUUGAUUAAGAGAAAGCUGAUGCGUGUUAUAUAUCUGUGAAAUGGUAUAUAUUCCAUAGGUAUAGAAGAAAGAGGGAGAAAUUAAUUGAGCGCAUUGGAGUUCCUACAAGGAUGCCUACGACAUGGGGACCCUUCAAUGCAUAUUGUUACAAGUCUACCUUAGAUAGCAUCGAACAUAUCGCAUUGGUUAAGGUAGUAAUAAUAAUGAAACCCACUUUGUUGGAUUCAAAAGUGUGAAUUUAAACUCCUAAUUAAAUUAAAUUUUUAUAAACAAAUGAAUUUAGAUCCUUUAUUAUCAAUGAUUCUCAAACAUGCAUGUGUACAAGAUCAGUUGUUGAAAAAGUGUAUUCUAUGAAGGGUGAUUUAGGUGAUGGGGAAGAUAUUCUAGUGAGGGUGCAUUCAGAAUGCUUGACAGGAGACAUAUUUGGAUCAGGAAGAUGUGACUGUGGAAAGCAAUUAGGUUUGGCAAUGCAACACAUUGAAGAAGCUGGUAAAGGAGUGUUGGUUUAUGUUAGAGGCCAAGAAGGAAGAGGCAUUGGUUUGGGGAAUAAACUUCUCGCAUAUAAUUUGCAAGACGCUGGUAGAGACACUGUUCAAGCUAAUGAAGAUUUGGGAUUGCCUAUUGAUUCCAGAGAUUAUACCGUUGCUGCACAAGUAUGUUUUCUUUAACCAACUCCAGUUUUCAAAUGCCACAUUUUAAUCACUAAUAUAGAUAUCUUGCCACACGAUCUUUCACUAGAUAUAAAUGAUUUUGGUACAUGAUCGUGAACCAAGAUCGUUUAGAUUUAGUAUACAUAAUCGUUUAGCUCUAGGUACACGAUCGUGUAUCAUUUCUUACCCAAUCGCAUAUCAUGAUUGCUUAUAAGUAAACAACAAAGCAAAUAUAUGGUUUAAUCCUAAAACAAAAUGGCUAUCAAUGGACACGAACACGAACACGAAUACGAACGACAACAUGCUAUCAAUUCAUACAACUAUUAUAUAUUUUAUUCCUUCUAAUAGGUAGCUGUUGAUAUUGAACAAUGAGGUAGUAGGUACUCAAUAUUUUGUUGAAUGAUAUUCGAAUAUAAUUUGACAGAUUGUAAAGGAUGUUGGUGUGAGAACAAUGAGGCUAAUGACAAAUAACCCAGCAAAGUACAUGGGGCUAAAGGGAUAUGGGUUGGGUAUCUCAGGCAGAGUCCCACUUGUGACUCCAAUUACAAAGGACAAUAAAAGAUACCUUGAGACUAAGAGAGCCAAAAUGGGCCAUGUCUAUGGCUUAGAAUUCAAUGGUGGAUUAAGUGCUCUAAUUGGUGCAAAUAAAAAAUAAUCCAAUAUGCUAAUUCAUCAGUGGAAUAUGCUUUGCCUAAUUAAACUUCUUCAUACUCUUUUCCUUUCAUUGGGCCCAAAUCCAGAAAAUAAAACUUAUUUGCAUGCCUCUCGUCUUUUGCUUUGAGUAUUGUAUGUAUUAUAUUUUGAAUGAAAUAAAAUAACCAAUUCGUGGUUUGUUCUAUUUCAAAGUUAUUAACUAUGCUUUACGUACCCUUCCAAAACAAAAACAAAACAACACUGUUAUUCCCAACUGAGACUUUGUUUAUCUCUAGAACAUAUAUAAAUUAGUAUUAAUUAUGGAAAUUAGGUAAUUAUGUGGUUUAAACAUACGAACAAUUUGUGACUUUCUUAUGUUGAUUAUAUCUAUACUAUACAUGAAAUGAUCAUUAGAGAGAAUUUUUCUCUCCAUUUUCCUCCUUUCAUUUUUUUAGUUCUAACUAUAACAUUAGUGGUAAUUUUACAAAUUACCAACCGUAUGUUCUUUCCUUAUGGAUAUUAAUAACACUUUAUUCUUUCUAAUUCCAAAAACUUUUAGCUUUCCAAUUUUCAUCAAUUCUUUUUAUUGAUUUUUUUAUCGUUACAAAACCAUCUAAUGUGAAUUCAACAAUAGAACCUUUGCAUGUGCGUGAAUGAUCCAUUACAAAAAUCUAGACAAAAAAGAUAUAAGAGAUUUUUAUACUACACCUUCGAAAGCUAGCAUAUUCACAUCAAGUGACAAAUAAUUUUGAGCAAAAAAUUAUGUACAAUGUUAGUUCAAUGAGUCAAUAUGAAAAUAGAUUGAAGAUGACAUCAAAAAAGUUUUAUGAGAGUUAUUCAAGGCAUUGUGAAGAUUUUCUACAUUUUUUUUAGUUUUUCAAUUUGAUCUUUAAUUUAGUAUGUAAUUUUGUUUUAAGUUCCUAGGUCUUGUUUUCUUCAAAAGACAUUUAAGUGGAUUUGCCUGUAUUUUCUUUAAUUAGCGUAAGUGUGUGACCAUUGGGCUUCCGUCCCAUGCAUGACCAUUUAGCCUAUAAAAUGGCUUUUAAUGCUCAUAGAAAGGUAGGAUAUCAAUAUUAAAAAAUUAUACUUUAUUCAACCAUUUUGGUGUUAUCUUUUUCAAGUUUUGUUUUAGAUUUAAUGUUGAAAAUCAAUUCAUUGGAUUAGUGUUGAUCAAACUAUUCUCGGAGUGAGUUGUCUUAUGAUCUAAGAGUGACCAUCGUAGAUACGAAGUUUGAACUAAGUAGCUUUCUUUGUGAGUAUUGCAAGGAAUCUAGAAGGAUCUUUAACUUUGCAUCUAACAAACACAAUGAUCCAUUCUUAAGGUGAAUUUAUCCAUACUUGGUUUCAAUCUAUUUUUGUUUCCAAACUUUAUUUGCAUGUAAUAAUUAUACAACACAUACAACAAUCAAUCUUCAAAUAUUUUCAAAGAAAAAAAAAUACUCAAAGAUUCAAAGCCCAUUUUUAUUUGUUUGUCCAAAUUUUUUUAUGUUGUGGAUCCUUAAAACUUGGUACAUUCUAAUAUAUAAAUAUGGACACAACUUAUCUUACAAGGAUCUAUAUCUCAUAAUUAAUUAUUUGAAUCAUAUUCAUCUAAAUUAACUCUCCAUAUUAUAUACUUAUAAUUUGAAUGAGGAAUCCAUUCAAGUAAACCAUAUAAUAAAAUAUUCAAUGAUUUGAGAUUAAUAUAAAAUUGAUGUAUUUAAAUAAGACUCAAGUAAGUGAAUUAUUUAAUUUGAAAAAUAUAUAUAUAAUUCAAAUGGAGAAAUAAAUAUUUGAAUAUGAUUAAAAUAUUUGUAGGUUUUUUAAUAGGGGAUAUUAAAAUGUACAAAUACAAUUAUAAAAUAAAAUGGGAUAGUUAAUAAUUACGAGUUUUUUAAAAAAAUAUGACAAAGCGACAAAAUAUUUAGGGUGUUAGAACAAUUUCGGGAACGAAAAAAGUCCACAUGUCCAUAAUAAAAAAUACCAAAAAAUGAUCUCAUUAGCACGUGAUUAAUUGACACUCGCAAAUGUAAUAUAUUUGCUCCACGAUCUUGUAACAAUUUCGUUUUUAGAUUUUGGCUACACGAUUGUUUAGAUUACACGAUUGUUUAGAUUUGUCUAUCUAAAUCUAAACGAUUUUUGUUCAGGAUUGAUUUGGUAUGCGACCGUUUAGAUUUAGAGGAAAAUCUAAACGAUUUUUUUUUCAAAAUUUUUUGGUACACCGUCAUUAGAUUUUGUUAUUCUUUGAAAAAAAAAUUUCAAUAAUUUUUUGAACAAGAUUAUUUAGAUUUGGUAACGGUUUUUUAAAGAUUAUUUGGUACACAAUUAUUUAGAUUUGGUGUGUACCAAUAUCCCAACGAUUUUUCUUCAAAAGCUUUUAUAAUAUUCAAUACACGAUCUUGAACAACUAAAUAACAUUUUGAAAAGAAAAAUAAAAAAUAUAUUUCAAUAACAUAACCCAACUUAUCAACAAUAUCUUUGGAUAUCCUCAAUUAUUGAUUUGAUAAAUAAAAUAAUCCAAUAUUAAUCAAUCUUAUCUUUGAUUAAGCUUUCAUUUCUCCUUAUGCUAUUUCUCAAGAUGCCCAAGAUUUGUUUGAUGAGACCUUUCUUUUCUUAAUUAUAGUGGACUUUCAAAUGAGUUGUUAUAAGAGAUUUGAUAUAUAAUUAACUCACACCAAAAGUAUAAAAUAUGUAACCUUGUCCAAGUCAAAUCUCUCAUUUAUUAUUAUUUAGUAUCUUAUUCAAUCUAUUUGCUAUAUUAUUUUAUGUUUUCGUUUAAAUAAAAUAACAUUUCCUUAUUCAUUAUUUAAUUACUAUUUCACCCAUUACUUUCAUCAAUUCAAUUUUUUUCCGUUCAUUAUUAUUACGCAGGGUUCAAUAAUAUAUUUUUUCAGGAGAAUUAUGAAAAGUAGCAACUUCACACAAUAUAUACAAUAUAUAGCAAAAUUUUUUAAUUUUAUUAAUAAUAGAUAUUGAUAAACACCAAUAUCCUUCUAUCAAUGGCAUUGAUAGACAGUGAUAGAAGUUUAUCAAUUUCUAUCAUUGAUAGAAUCCAAAAUUUUGUUAUAGCUUGUAAGUAUUUUAAUUUAUUUUCCUAUGUUUGAGAUCAGAUUAAAUGGUCUAUAGUAUAGGGAUAAGACUGGGUACCUAAUCCUAGUAACACUAUGGAUACGACACACUUUGUAUUUGAUACAAACACAAUGAUUCAACGUGCAAGUGACAUGUGAGUGGGGGUAUCCUAUGCAAUAAGUUUGCAUAAGACUGGAUCACGAAAUAGUAACCACUAAAUAUAACUCUGUUAACUAAUUAAGUUUUUAUCUCAAUAGGAUGACCUAGGUAACUUAGUCGUAAUCUUAAGUGUAUUAUGAACUUCUGUUCGCAAGAGAUUAUCAAUUGAUUUGUACAGGUGAGAGUGGUCAGAUCGCUGACUCAAUAUACUUAUCAUUUUGGGGACAAGACUAACUGGGGAGCUGUAAACAUAAUUACACAAGAUGAAAUUUACUCUUUUCCUACUUAAGGGUAAAUAGAUAAGUGUUCAUUUAAAUCGUAUAUAUGGGACUUAAACAAUGGACUCUACCUUCUCUACGGCACGAAAGGGUUUCUGUUUAUUGGUUGGACCAUAAACAAAUUGUUCACUAAAGGAGCAUUGAUAUUUAAGAACUAGAGGUAUCCUAAGGGUAAAACGGUAAUCUUACUUAGCGUGUGUUACGAACAUUCGUGUAGGACUAACUUACUAUUAUUGGUCUAUAUCCGUAGACACAAAAAUAUAUCUACAGUGAGAAAAGUUCAACUGUGAGUCUUUAGUGGAGUGUACACACAAUUAACGAAUAUUGAUUACUGUGGUUAAUGAGUUUGACCAAUUAAUCUCACAUCGUUGUAGCUUUUGAUCUGUAGAUUCAUUAGGUCACCUUCUUAGCUCGUAAAGGAUAAUGAGAUUUAUUUAUGUUAGUUGUAAUUUGAAAAUUUCAAAUUACAAACAAUAUAAAAAGCUUGAUUAAUAUAUAAACUUUAUAUUACAAUAUUUCGCCAUAUAAUUUCAAAAUUAUUUUGAAAAUUACUAUAAUGUAUGGUGAUACGUUAUAAUAUAAAGUUUAUAUAUUAAUCAAACUUUAUUAUAUAAUUUUAAUUUUGGAUAUUUUUCAAAACUAAUUUAUGAGAGAUAAAAUAUUUGAAAAAGUUCAAAUAUUAAUUUAAUAUUAAUUGAAUUUAUAUUAAAACUAUUGGUUAGGAGAAAAAUUUAUAUCUGAAUAUGAUUAAAAUUUAAUUUAAGUUAAAUAUAAAAUAUUUAAUUUAGCUAUUAAUUAAAUAGUUUUGUUUAAAGGGGAUUUUGCAAAAAUAGCAAAAGAAUUUAUGAUAAAAAAGUCCAUGUCACUUACAUUUUCAAAAUUACAAAAAUAACGAAUUUAAAAGUAGAUUACUGUUUGGUCAUAUUUGUCAUCUACUGUAAUUUUUCUUAUUAAAUAUAAUUUAAUUAAGGGUUAGUUGCAAAUUUAGCAAUUAAAUUCAAAAUAAUUAAGUAUAUAGCAAUAUUUUUAAAAAAUUGCAAAUAUAGCAAAAUUUGUCAAAUUAUAUCAAUGAUAGAAUCUAUCAUUGAUAUACCAUGUUAUAAAAAUUGGUCUAUCACUGAUAAAUCAUACGAGUCUAUCAGUGACAUAAGUCUACCAACGAUAGUUUUGCUAUAUUUGCAUUUUUUUAAAAAUGUUGCUAUAUCCUUAAUUAUUAUUCCUCAAAUAGUCAUUCAUUACAAUUACCCUUUAAUUAAUUACCGGACUUGAAUAUUCCAUCUUUUAUGCACUAAGCACGUUGGAAUCCACAAUCAUGUUGUUGAUUUGUUCACAAAGUCGCUCACUACAAGUUCAUUUGCUAGUUGUUGUAACAAACUCAUGACUCCCUCUUCGUCCAAGUUUUUUAGGAGGUCUAUGAGAAACUAUUUUGAAUAAUUUUAGUUUGUUAUAAGUUUUGUUACAUAUUUGUUUUGAUUAUUUAUUACAAGUUGUUGUAUCUUCCCUUUCAUCAAGGGAAAUUUGUUGUUUAAGGGGUCUACAUACUUCACAAAUUCAAUUAGAAAAAUAUGAUGUGAAACAUGCAUUAUGAGAAUAAGGGUUGAGAGGUCGAUAGAUAUUACGUUUAAAUUAAGCUUAGGCGUGCUGAAGAAAGUUUUUAAGAGUUUGGGGUUUUGAAGUAAAUAAGUGUUCUGGCUAGGCUACACGAGGAAAAGUUGUUUUUGAGCCAGGCGAGAAAAGAAAGGAAGUUUGAAAAGAUUCACUAAUCUAGAUUAGUCAAACAGGUUAUACGUGUGUUGACAAGCUAAGGUGAGUUUCACGAUGAUUAAUUUGGUUUUGGAUUAAUAUAAAUAGAAUUUGUAAGCUUUAGGAAGAAGUUACAAAGAAGCUCUAAGUAAAACUAUUAAAAGAAAGACCAAGCGAGAAGAGAAAAAAGGAAAGAUCAGACAAUAAGAAGGAGUAGAAAGGAAGAAAGUAUUUUAAAGCUUUGUGAGAUAUUCUUCUAAAAGAAGGACUAAAGUUUUCUAAGUAUUCUUGUAAUGCACUGUAAUGCCCUCAGUUUAGAAGGGGGCAUAAGUAAAUUGAUAUCAUAUCUAAAUUAGAGAAAUUCUGAAGACAAUGAAAAUAAGGUUAAGAAAGACUUAAAAAAUUAAAAGUUACUACCUAUAUCAACAAGGUGCAUCUUUCUUUUCGGUGCCUCGAUCAUAGGAACUCCAAAGUUAAACGUGCAUAGCUUGGAACAAUUCUAUGUUGGGUGACGAGAAUUUUCCUAGGAUGCAUGUAAGUGAAGACAAAAACAUACUGAAAGGACUUGUGUUGGUUUGUGAGGACAACUUUCCCUUUAAUAAGCCUUUAAGAAUGUUAAAGAUCCGAAUUAUGUGCUAUGUUGUUACAUAAUGUAUAUUACCUGUUAUAAUUCCACAUAAAACUAGUAGCUGCCUUUGCGUUGAGUGCAACAUAAUGUAUAUUACCUGUUAUAAUUCCACAUAAAACUAGUAGCUGCCUUUGCGUUGAGUGAUUCGUUUGAUAGAAGGAUGGAUUAACACGUUGAAUGGUCUGUGUUCAAAUCUAUUGCUUGAGCAUCUGCAAUUGAACGAGGGUCCAUAGAGAUACUAGUGGUGAAACUAGUAGGGUCCAUAGAGAUACUAGUGGUGAAACUAGUGGUGAAAUGAGAAUUAUCACAGUAGUCUAUGCAUUGAGAAAUUAUAAUGUCUAGGUGAAAGGAAUAAGUAGAGGCUAAUAUGAUUUGUGUUGUUUAACAUGUGAUGAGGCCGAUAGAAUUUUUGACAAACAUGAAAUUAGUUUUCUUUUUAUUUAAAGAAAGAUAAAAUAUCUUCCUUUAUCUUUAGGAUCAUUUCUAAAUAUCUUUUAAUGAGAGUUAAAAGAUCUUCCUUAAAUGUUUAAAAGAAAAAAUAAAUGAUCUUCUUUAAAGAAUAAGAUAAAAAUUAUUUCUCAUAUUUUAGAAUAUUUUACCGUAAAGAAGUUCUUCCUUCUUGGCUCUUUAUAAAGCAAAAGUUCUCUGAACGUAAAAUCUUUUCUUCAUAGUUGUUGUUCAGAAGUUUAUAUUUUUGGUGAAGAAUUUGUACAAAGGUAAAUUGGUAACCGUCUUUAUUUUAUGAAAAAUUCUUGAUAUCUUCAUCGGUGGUUUCAUAGUAUAUGAGAUAAGAGAUUUAAAGAAGAUCUUGAAGAUUUGAUAAAGUAUUUAAACUGUGAAGCUUCCGCAAGUUUUACCAUGUUGAUUACUAGAUGGUUAUUCAAAGAAAUUCGUAUUGUUGAAGAAUAUUGUCAAAGGUACUUUGGUUAGCUUCUGGUCUAUGUCGAUUUAUUGAAGAUCGAUCAGUGGUCUUACUGAGUAUCAGUUGAUAAGAAAUAUGAAAGAAGGUUGAAAUAGUUGAACGGUGGUCAAUGAAUUUAAGAGGAGCCUAAGUCUAUCUCCAAGCAGAUUCAAACACAAAUUUAGGGGGAGCUUGUCUUUAAUUAAGUUUCUCUUAUAACUUAAGAGUGUUAUUGAUUAUUCAUUUGAAUCUUAAUAAUAUUUCUUAUUUGAGCGAAAAAGCUCUUGAGAUGUAGGUGGUAUUCGUCGAACUGGAUUACCAAAGCCUUCUGUGUUAUUUGUUCUUACUAUUCUUUAGCCAUUUCAUAGUUAAGUACUUUAGAUAUAGCUAAAGGACAUCAUUUAUUUUUCAGAGGCAUUAAGACAUUUCUGAAAAUGAGAGCUUUUAUUUUAUGCUUGUAUUCUCCAAAAAGUUUUUUCCUAAAAUAUUACUCACUAAGCAUUAGACUUAUGUUUUAAGUUUCCCCUCUCCAGACAAGCGAGUUGGGAAAGCUGCUAAGAGAAGGCAAGCUGCUAAUUUGCUAGGCAUUGAAGUUCUAAAGCUUGAGUUUUAGUUCGUUUUAGCACUUAGUUUAGGAGCGUAGGAGCUGGCCAACUCAUGUUCGUGCUUGAAAAUGUGAGGGGUACACGUUCUGACAUAUGAGAUUUAAACUUUGUACUUUUAUUUGAGGCCGCAUAUGAUGAGUAAUAAUAUGUGAUAGAUAAUAGUGAAAACUAAAAGUGCAUUUGGAUGUAUAAACUUUUAAUCAUAGAGUGCCAAAUAUAAUUAUGAGAGGUUAGACAAUUUAAUUUGAUAGUGAGUAUUGCUCCCUCGUUAUAGUUUGUUCAAACCCUUUAACAUUCACGAUUGAAUGUAUGUCAAUCAUCAAUGUACCAAUAUCAAGUUUUCAACUCCAUAUUGUAGAAGCAUCAAAUUACCGAGACACACACUAUAUAAAAAAGGAAAGAAAAAAACAUCAAAUUCAUAUCAAUUCAUGUUUGAAGUAAAAGGAUGAAAAAAUUCAAUAAAAACAAAUUGAAUGAGGUAAAAUUGUAGGUAAAUUUACAUAAAUAUCUCAAAAGUGCUAAAUAUUCACGAUCCAUAUAACAAUUUAAGAAACGCUCAUGAACCCAAUUACUUUUUGAACGAUUUUUUUAGAUCUUUUUCUUCUUCUUUUAGAUUUAUUAUUCACUUAUUCAUAUUAUUAAUUAAUUUCUUCAUAUUAUUAUUCUCCUUUCCCAUAUUUCCACUUCUCUUUUGCAAUUUCUACGUUUUCUCUUCUAGAAUUUCUUCCUUCUUCUUCCUUUCUCAUCUUCUUUUUUUCUUCUAGGUAGAAGAUCUAAAUGAUAUUGGUACAUGAUCUAAAUGAUCGUAUACCAAUAUUUAAAUGAUCAGUUGUAUAUCCCAGAUAAACAGAGAUAUAUCACUAUCAUUAAUAGAUCGUUUAGAUUUGGUACAAGAUCGUUUAGACUACGUACAAUGGUACAAGAUCAUUUAGGUUGGAUACAAAGGUAGAAGAUCGUUUAGACUUGGUACAAAAUCAUUUUUUCACUCAUGUAUGAUCGAUUAAUUGAGACGAUACUUUUGUUAUUUCAUGCUGUGAACUUGUGAGCUUUUUUUUCUCUUUUAAAAUUGUUCUAUAUGGUAUAAAUAUUUUCGUGCUUUAUUAUAUUUUUAGAAAGAAAAAAAAAAACCCUAAAUAUAGGUAGUUCCUUAAUUUUAUUUCUUGAUAAUAAAACUUUUACACGGUAGGAAAGAAAGUAAAAUUCAUGAGAAAUGAAAUGAAAUUGCAACGUAAAAAGUUUGAAUAAAGACUAAAACAUAAAAUAUAUGCUGUUUUUUUUUUUUCAAAAUUAAUUUAAUGAUAGGUUUUGUUUACGGUAAUUUACAUAAAUGUAACAAAACUUAAAAAUAUUUACGAUUCGUAUAACAAAAAAAUAAAAGCUCAUGAAGUCACGAUUGUAUUUUUAUAAAUUUCAGAUUUGUCCUUAAAUAUUGGAUCGAUUUGUCGCUUCUCUUUCUUCUUCUUCUUCUUUUACGAUUUAUUAAUUUUCUUUGUGAUUUCUUCAUCUUCUCUUCCGAAUGUUAUUUCUUCUAUUUUUAAACGAUUUAUUCUUUUGUUUAAAUCUCCUAUUUCAUUUUCAUCAUUUUUGUCAAUAUUCUUUGAAGCUAUUUCACGAUUGUUUCAAUAUUCUUCUUCAAUUCCCUUAUAUUUGAGAAUAUCAAAAUCAUUCAAAUAUCGUUUUAAAUUAUCAACACUAUUAUUUACCAUGGUUAGUACGAUUAUUUAAAUUUGAAACAUUUUUUUCAUCGCUUAAAAAGAACUAUACGAGAUCAUGUAUCAUGAUCUAAACAAUCGUUUAGUAUGGUCAACACGAUCACUAGAUUUGAAGUUUUUUAACGGUCAUUUAUACUGAACUACAUGAUCACUUACCAUAAUCAACACGAUCAUUUGCCAUAGUUAGCACGAUCGUUUGUCAUACUCAACACGAUUGUUUAAAUUUAAAGUCUUUUUCCCCAUUGUUAAAAAAAACUGCACAAGCUGGUGGGCUUUUUUUUUGUUUUCAAAUUGUUGUAUAAUGUGUAAAUAUUUUAUUGAUUUGUUAUAUUUUUUAAAAAAACCGUUAAAAGAAGGUUUUUUUUUUUUUAAUUUCAAGCCUGAAAAAGAAGAUUUUGGAUUGAAGAUAAGACUUGAAAAUGUUAAAUUAGGGAACUGAACAAAAAAAAAAAGUUAGAAAUUUGAAAAAGCUGAAAAUUUUAAAUUUUAGAAAAUUGAAAAAAAAAAAAAAGACAUUUAGCAACGUUGACGAUAUAUCCACAAUUUGCUUUACACUAUUUCUAUGUUUUAUUAAAUUCUCAUUUAAACUAAUUAUUGUAGAAUGAUAUUGAUGAAAUAUUUGUUGAGAAAUUAUUUUAAAUGAUAAAACUUUUAAAAAUAUUUAUAAAUAUAACACAAUAUCAUAAUUUAUUCGUGGUAAACUAUGGUAGAUCAAAAAAGACUACUAGUUGUGUCGUGACUAUCAUAAUAUAAAUAGACACGCGGUCUAUCGUACAUAAACUAUGAUAUUUUACUAUGUUUUAAUUAGGCGCCGAAUAAAUUAUUUUAUUAUUAUUAUUUGUUUUCUUUUUUUGACAAAUUCACAUGUUUUGGGAUAUAAUGGACUAAAAUGAUUGUAGAUAGAUUGAAACAAAGUUUAGAGUAAAAGAAGUGAAUAAAAUGAAAUGCAGAAACUUAAAUUGAAAUUGAGUAAAGCAUUAACUCCAAGAAACAAGUGAGAAAGAGAAAAGCAUAAAAAAAUUGAAAGUCUUUCAAUUGAUGAAACAUUAAUUACUCAACUCCUGCUUAGUAUGCAGAUGGGUUGGAUCAAAAUGAAGAAAGAAAAAAAAAGAAAUCGUGGAUCAUAACUCUUUUAAAAAAAUAUUAAGUUUUUAGAUCUGGAAUUUAAAAUCAAAUAAAUAAAUAGAGAAAUAACUCAAUCAUUUAUUACCCCAUCUCUUUCUCUUAACCAUAUUAUAUUGUAUAAAUAAGAACCUCUAGAUUCUGAAAAAUUUCAGGUUUGCUUCAGAAAUUAGAUCUCCAAAAAUGGCUUCUACUGCCUUCUCAUUCCAAUCAACAUAUCUCAUUUCUCAUUUUCAGUAAGUUUACUCUCUUUGUCUUUCUCAUUUUCUAUUAUGCCUUUUCCUCUCGUUUCAACUAUUAUUAACCCUCUUUCUUUCCCAGUUCUCUUAAUUACAUUUUAUUAACUAAGUCAUCGUUAUACUGUUUCACAUUAGUUAGAAAAGGAAGUGAUCAUGUGUAGAUGAGUGAGGACAGUUAUUUUCAAUAGUAUUCGGAACAAAGUCAUAUACAUAUGUAAGAUCUAGUUGGUUGUGUUCAUAGUUUACUCUGCAUUACAAACAAACAAAGUUUUACAUUAAUUAGUGAGGAAUUAGAUUACUCGUAAAAUUUUAUAAUAUAUAUUUUUUCAAAUUUGAAUUUCCUAAAGGAACAUUUACCAGUAAUAUACUAUUUCUUUUAGAAUUUAGAUUAGAAGAAUUUUCAAAAAUAGCAAAUUUUACAAAAUAUUUACAAACUUAUAACAAAUUUUAUCACUUAUAGUUAUUGAUAUGUGUAUUAGUGAUAGAAUUCAAAAUUUUGCUAUAACCGAUAAAUAUUUUAAUUUAUUUUGUUAUUUUAAAAAAUGUACUUUAUAUUAUUAUUUUUUAUUAAUUUAACAAUAAAUGUGGCAGGGAAACCACGUUUGAUAAUUGAUACAAUAUGUCAAAUGUGGAUAUGGUCAUGUUGAUAUAUCGUAUCUACUCAAUCUAUAUUUAUUAUUUUUCAAUUAAAGUAGUUAAUAUAAUUUAUUAGGGUCAAAAUAUUUUUUGAAGUUUGAUCAAUUUCAGUCUAGUUUAUUUUACAAUUGUAAUUAAUCAUUAUUAAUCUUUUAAGAAAGAUGUUCAUUUUUCUUUUUCUUUUUUUCAUGCACGUGUAGUUUUCUCGAUUAAUUUUGAAAUCAAACAUUUUUAUAAAUAGCAUAAUAAAUUAAUAUUUAUAAGUUAUAGCAAAAAUAUGCUAAUGAUAGAAGGGUAUCACUAACUAUCAAUGCUACAGAUAGAAAGAUAUUAAUGGCUAUUAAAUAUUUGUUGUUAAUAGAAUUUGAAAUUUUGCUAUAACUUGUAAAUAUUUUGUCAAAUUUGUUAAUUUUAAUCCUUUUUCUUUUGAAUUUGUUGGGUUAAAAAAUUGUAUUUACUUACUUGAAUGAUUAUUAUUAUUUAAUCAAGAAAAACAGUCAAAAAAAAAUGAAAAAUGUGACAAAAUAUAGCAAAUUUUAUAUUCUAUAUAUUAACAACAAACAUUUUGUUUGGUUUUUUAGGAUUUUUUUUUUUUGGCUUUUUCUUUCUAAUAAUAAAAUUGUCAUCACAAACUCCCAAAAUAUUAAUAAUCAAACUUUGGGUUUGUUAAGUAAUCAGUUAAACAACAUUUUUUGUUCAUUCUAUAUAAUUUAGUCCAUGUACAACAAUAAUAUAUUAUAUGGAUCCACCCACAUGCGUUACUAGUAUGAUUAUUUACUUUUUAUUAUUUUUCUUUUGGUACUAACCUUUGUCAUUCUCUAAACGUUUAUCUGCAUAUGAUUUUAUUGUUUCAUGUAGAAGAUCCAAAGAGUUGCAAUCUUUUGGUGCAACCAACAACCACAUUAAGCCCUACACAGCUACUAGUCUUCAUGUUUCUGAUUUAGCCUCAAAUUCUAAAGCUACUAAACUCUUUUUUGGGUCACUCCAAUCAAGAUCAUCAGCUUCCUUCAAACACACCAUCCUUAAUGCAGCUUCUCUUACUAAUAGUACUUUUCCAAUUGAUGAAGACGAAUUUGAUCUUGAUCGCCCAACCCAUGGCUUUGCUUCCAUUGCAGAUGCCGUUGAAGACAUUCGCAACGGAAAGGUUUAAGCAUGACAUUCAAUAAAAAGAAGUAAUUAAUUAACUCAUGUAUUUUAUAAAGAUUAACAUGUGUGGAUUUGGUUGUAGAUGGUGCUUGUUGUUGAUGACGAAGAUAGAGAAAAUGAAGGAGAUUUGAUAAUGGCAGCACAAGCUGCAACUCCUGAAGCCAUGGCUUUCAUUGUAAAGCAUUGUACUGGAAUUGUUUGUGUAGCCAUGAAAGGUGAAGAUUUGGAGAGGUUGCAAAUUCCACUUAUGGUCAAUGAAAAAGAGAAUGAGGAGAAACUUUGUACCGCUUUUACCAUCACAGUGGUACGACCAUAAUAAUUUUACUUGUUCAGUUGAGUUACACUCACUCAUAUUUUAUUUUUAAUUUCACAGUGGAUUACAUAAUUGUGAAAAAAGGGUUUUGAAAAAGCUUAAACUGUAAUUACAAAGAAGGGUUUGUCAUGUGAGAAACUGGGAUUGCUUGAUAUGUUUAGAGUUAUUAUUGUUGUAGGAUGCACGAGAAGGUACAACGACGGGAGUGUCAGCGAGCGAUAGGGCAAAAACGAUAUUGGGACUUGCAUCAAGAGAUUCAAAACCAAGUGAUUUUAAGAGGCCAGGGCAUAUAUUUCCACUAAGGUAUAGGGAAGGAGGUGUUUUGAAGAGAGCUGGACAUACUGAAGCAUCUGUUGAUCUUGCUGUGCUUGCUGGACUAGACCCGGUGGGUGUCCUUUGUGAGGUUGUUGAUGAUGAUGGUUCCAUGGCUAGAUUACCCUCUCUUCGACAAUUUGCUGCUCGAGAAAAUUUGAAAAUAAUUUCCAUUGCUGAUUUAAUCAGGUAUAACGUAAUAGUUGAAAAUACUAAUUUCAAGUAUUAUAAUUGGAGCUUGAAAUGUAGAACAUCCCACCAAUUUCAAUUUGGGGGCAGACACCAUAUUAAUUUCCAGAGGUAAGCAAGAUGAAAUAAAAAACAAAUAGAAGCUUAAAUAACCACAAACUUUCAAGAUGAUGUGGGAAGAUAUAGCCGUGAGAUACGCUUUUGAUAAGCGAUAGUUAUUCGCUGUACAUGUGUUGGAAACUAACUACACCAAAUAUUUUAGUAGGAUCAAGAUCAGCAACCUCAAAAAACUCAGAUCUAAGAAGUAACUUUUUUUUUCGGUUUGAAAAAACACAUCUCGUACUUUCUCAAUAUUUUUUUUUUAAUAAAAUGAAAAAUGUGCAGGUAUAGAAGGAAGAGAGACAGAUUAAUUGAAAGUAGUGGGGUUGGUGGGACUCGUAUGCCAACGAAAUGGGGUCCGUUUCAAGCCUAUUGCUACAGAUCUGUUUUGGAUGGCAUUGAACAUAUUGCAAUGGUUAAGGUAACUGACUAAUUAACUAACUCUACCUUUUUGUUUCGGAGUGAAAUUUAAUUCGAUACUUGUGUUUGUGUCUUUUAAGGGUGAAAUGGGUGAGGGGGAAAAUAUUUUGGUUAGAGUGCACUCAGAAUGCUUCACUGGGGAUAUAUUGGGAUCAUCAAGAUGCGACUGUGGAGACCAGCUUGGUUUAGCCAUGCAGUUGAUUGAGGCUGCAGGCAGGGGUGUGUUGGUUUAUCUUCGUGGUCAUGAAGGAAGGGGCAUAGGUUUGGCUCACAAACUCCAAGCUUAUAACUUGCAAGAUGCUGGCCGAGAUACUGUUGAAGCCAACCAGGAUUUGGGACUUCCUGUUGAUUCUCGCGAAUAUGGCAUUGGUGCACAGGUACAUAUCCUUACCCCUAAUUAUUUGGAAGUUAUAGUUGGAAUAGUGAUUUUUUAUCUAUUUACAAGUAAUUUUGCUAAAAGAUCAGUAACCAAUAUAGAGGAAAAAUAGGGUAUUUCAAUCCAUGUUGAAAUAAGUAAUCUUUGGAGUGAUUUUUGGUCCAUUGCACCCCCACCAACUUAAUUAUUAACCAAUUUUGAUGAUUUUAGACACUUUUAUAUUUAACUUCUAACUGAGGAUGAACCAUCAUAGAUUCACUAAUUUAAUGGUAAAUAAUCCAUAGUAAUGGGUUUGAUAAUGGCUUUGAGUUUGAUAAUGGACUGAAAGAGAUUGAGUUAAUCCAUACUAUAUAACCACUAUAUAAGAUAUUUAAUAAACUACAAGUUAUCAUUAUAUCCAAAUGUAGUAAUCAUGUUAGGAGAGUAGUCUGGCCUGCAAGAUCAGUUUAAGUGUGCAUAUAAACUAGUCCCAACAAUUGUGGAUAUCUAAUGAAGAAAAAUCAACUAUUGAAGGGGAAAUAAUUUUGGAGUGACCAAUGAUAGUUGUCACGUUUAUGCAUAAAUCCACGACUUUAAUUUUCAGAAAACAUCUCGAAAGGUCUUGACUAACAGAGAUAAAUGAUCAGUUGUAUACCAUGAGCACUUCUUUCUGAACUUUGAUUGGAUCACAAAGUAAAUUCUUUUCUAUUUUGUCAACAGAAGGUCCAAUUCUUUUCUAUUUGUUUGGUUGCAGAUUCUAAGGGAUCUUGGAGUGAGAACAAUGAAGCUAAUGACAAACAACCCAGCAAAGUUCAUAGGGUUGAAGGGGUAUGGCUUAGAAGUUUCAGGUAGAGUUCCUUUGAUAACACCAGUUACAAAAGACAACAAGAGAUACCUUGAGACUAAACGGUCCAAAAUGGGUCACGUCUACAACUUCGAUCUUGGAGUUCGCUUCAGAAAUUUGAUCGAUGACCAUAAAAAAUCGAACGAAAAUGUAGAACCAAGCAACAUUGUGACUUGAUCUAGCAUAAUAUUGUUGAAAUUUAAAGAGAAGGAACAAUUGAUUAUAAAAAGGUGGUGGUGUUGAAAGAGAAAUUAUAGUGUUGGCAAAAUGAAGCCGCUUGUACCACAUUAUUGGGCAUUAUCAUUCUAUUUGAUUCAGUUUGUUGAGUUUAUGAUUUCAAAGCGUUUCAUAUUUGUAGUUCACAAUUUGGUCAUUAAAUUGGAAACAAUUAUUAUGGAACCAAAUAAAAGUAAGAAAUUGUGAAGAGUUUUUCAUACCAAAAGAAAUAGCCUGUAUAGAGAAAUCACUUACAUAAACUAAUAUACAUAAUGUACAAAUGUGGAAGGUGUAUGAGUGCAGAAGAGGUGUUUUUUUAGUAUGUGUGUAAACUCAUCCACAAGCCACAACAAAACAGCACAUACGAUUAUUAAUCAUAUAGAAGACCCUUCUAUUUUAUUUGCAUAGGGCCCACUAUGUGCAUAGACAUGCUGAUUAGUGAUUAUAUUCAAGUGCAAAAAUGCGUAAGCAAAAUGGAAGUCCAAAGGGAGAGGCAUUUGAUGUAGCAAGAUAUACAAAAUCUCUCUCAUUCCCUAUAACUGCUCUAUAAUACAGCAAAAGAAAAGCUCUAAACAACAAAGAUGUAUAACUUAUCUCAAAACCUCAUCCAUCAUUUUUUUUAAUGAAACACCUGACUUUCAAUGAGAAAAAAAAUGAAUAGCUUACAAGAAAAAGAAAGCCCACAAAAGGGUGCCACCGCCAGAAAGGGACUCCAAUCAACUAAAAUAAAACCUUAGUGAGUAAUUGAAAAUGUCACACUCUUUUAUUUACCCAAAUACCAUUAGACAUAUUUACUUAAUUGUCAUUAAAUUAAAAAGAAAAGUUAUUGUAAAAGAAAAAUUAAAACGGUAGAAAAUAUUUAUAAAAUAUAACCAAAUUUCAAAUUCUACCAAUACCUAUAGAUAAAACUAAAACUUUGUUAUAUUAUUAUAUUAUAUAGAUGUUUUUGGAUCUUUUAGUAUAUUUUAUACUUCAAUUUAGGUGUAUUACACAAUUUGUUCUUUCAUCAUAUCUAAAAAUGGGUAAAAAGGUUGUCAAUCCAACACUAAAGUUGGCACCCACUAUGUAGUUUAUUAUAUAGGUUGAAGUUUAUGAGUUCAUAUUUGUGUAAUAUAAUAUUCUUACAAAAUUAAAAUAAAACAUUUUGAAUAUUAAAAAAAAAAGAAAAAGUAAGAAAAUAUUUUAAAACAAAAAUAAAUUGAUUCAUUAGAAAACUAACAAAAGUACAACUAUGUACAUCAUUGUUAAGAAGUACAACUUACAACUCUGGCAUAACAAAGUACAACAUACAUGUGUGUGCAAAGAUUGUAGGUGGAUUCAUUAAACAAUCCCUUUAAUUAAAUUGGAGCUUAUAAAUACAAUACACCAAUCUACCAAAAUUUAUUAACUCUUCUCUUUGCCAUAGUUUUCCUCUCUCUUCUUCCAUAAUAAUAAUAUGGCAGCUCCUCCUUCUGCCGUUCUCAGCGUCGUCCUGGUGGCUCUGCUGCUCAUUUGUGUUGCUAAUGCACACGAGGGCCACGCACAUCCUCCGUCCUCCGAGCACCAUCUUGCCCCUCCACCCCAACACAGCGCAGCCAUCAUCAAUAGUCUUUCAUACUUUUGGUCUAUGGCAAUGGCCAUGGUGGCUGCAUCUUGGAUAAUAUUGUUUUAGUUAUUUUAAUCUUACUGUGUAAAACUUCAAUUCCUGCAUGAAGUUCACAUUUCUGUUUAAUUAAUUAUUUUGCCUAUUUUCGCAUACUGUACUCUCCUUCGGUGAUGUGUUUUUGUUUUUGUUUUCGUUUGAAUGUCAUUUUGAGUAAUUACCACGUCGACCUGAAUAACAAUUAUGCAUAUUCACAUUUUUUUCCCCUUUUAGAUCAAGAAAAUUCAAAACAGUAUUUAUCUUCUUAUUCCAUCACGAAUAAUUUUGUAUUAUAGUUUGGGAACUCAAGAAGACAUUUGAUAUCACCUCUAUUAAUUUACUAAUUAGAAUGGAACAUAUUAGAAAUUUGGACUAAUAUACAAUAAUUCUGACUUCUUUUUUUCUUUUUGCAAAGUUUAAUUUAUCCAGAUUUUCAGAAAGAGGAAAAAAAAGGAAAAGAUAGGGAUAGUGUGUAUUUGUUAAUAAUUUUGAACUUUUUAUUUUAAAAUAUAUAUUGAUGUAAAAUUUGUGUAGAGUUUUGGAAAGAUAAUCUUUUAAAGAUAAGAAAGAAGAAGAAGAAGAAAAAAACAAUUAAGAAAAUUCAAAGACUUGCAUUUAUAAAAUUGAAAAUAGGAAACAGAUGUUUGGGUAAAGUCUCGUCAAAAGGGACACAAUUUGGCUUCAGCUACACAACAUAUAUACUAUAGAAAACUCAAAGUGAAGAUGACAAUUAAGUACUCAAUAAAAAUUGUCAAGUCAUUAGAAAAAUUAAUAUUUGAAAAAAAUAUAUAUAUAUAAAUGAGAGGUGAAAGUAUUAGGGAGAAAAAUCACAAAGAAAAAGGGAAAUGCAUGUCACCACCACACCAGAAGGAUGGAGAGAAC
rnacentral:lncRNA from 1 species